UUUGCUGGAAGUGUUAAUUACUUUGUUUCAUAAGUAGUGCAAUGCUUGUUUUUGAAUGAUUUACGCAUGAAUUCCGCGUCUCAUGAAUUCUGUUUGUUAGAUUCCCAGUUUGUAGAUUUUUCAUUAAGAUUGAGAAAAGGAACAAUAUGUAAACGAAAAGGCAUGUGAAUUUGUAGAAGUCUGAGCUGCGGUUUAAUGUAGUUGGAAGUCUAUUGAUUAGGGGUUUCUACUAAGUGCGGUGAAAUAGAGUAGGAAAAAUGAGUGGUUCAACUUCUAUGUUGUUAUUUGUCCAAACUAUUUUCAUUAUAGAAUUGACUGAAUCUUACAAUCAAGUUUUUUGUAUUAUUGUUAUUCCUAAGGAUCCAAAAUUUCAGCCAGAAUUGUCAAGCACCUAUCAGCCUCUAAAAUGCAAUCCUGAUUGCAACUGUGAUGAUGAAAGGGAACAGUGCAUUUAUGACAGACGGUAUGCUGAAAUGAGCACUAGCAGUGGUGUUCUUGCUGAGGACUUUAUAUCCUUUGGCAAUCAGAGUGAACUUGAACCGCAGCGUGCUGUUUUUGGUUGUGAAAAUGUAGAAACUGGUGACCUUUACAGUCAACAUGCCGAUGGCAUAAUGGGAUUGGGCAGUGGUGAUCUCAGUAUUGUCGAUCAACUUGUUGAAAAAGGCGUGAUUAGUGACUCAUUCUCAUUGUGUUAUGGCGGAAUGAAUAUUGGUGGGGGUGCAAUGGUUCUUGGUAGUUUGUCCCCACCUUCCGGCAUGGUCUUUACCUAUUCAGAUCCUGUGCGCAGGUGUGUUGUUAAAAAUUCUCUCUCUGUCAGAUGUGAUACAUCUUGAACUUUCCUAACAAGCACAUUUGGUACCUUUCAUACAUUUACUCUAGUUUCGGGAUGGCAACAGUCAAUACUAUAACAUUGAUUUGAGAGAGAUACAUGUUGCGGGGAAGCGGUUGCCUCUUGAGCCUGGUGUAUUUGAUAGAAAACAUGGUACUAUCCUGGAUAGUGGCACAACAUAUGCUUACCUACCAGAAGCAGUAUUUAAAGCAUUUAAGGACGCUGUAAGCUUCAGUUUCCUUGCUUACAUCCUUUAUCAUUUUCUAUUUGUUCCAUUUUGCAAUUAAUAAUUGAAGGAACCUAUUCUUUGCACCAGUUUGUUCCUGAGAAAUAAUUGUUGCCUUCAUGUAAUUAAGAUUACAAUCUUAAAUAUAGCAUGGUUUGAUUAAUUCCUGAAAAUGUUAAGACAGCAUUCAUUUAAAUUUUAGUUUAAUGAAUUAUGAAGUAAUGCAUUCUGAGAAAGAUAAUGAAUAGGGUGAGUGCUUGAAUGUUAUGACAUGGAUGAUGCAUCUGAGAAAAGCAAGGACAGUAAUUUGUCUGUUUUGUUCAUUCAAGUGGAUUGUGUGUAUGGUAUGGUAAUGUAUAAAUUCAUUCUAGUGCUUCUCUGCUUUUCCCAUGAAAAAAGAUCUUUCAUUCCUCAGUUCUAAUUUGAAAUUUAUUCUAGUGCUGGUCCAUGUCUUCACCUCUUCUUAGUGCAGCUUACCAAUUUGUUCUUUUAUUUGUAUCUAAUGGGUUCUCCUUUUUAAUUUGUAUAGAUUAUGAAGGAACUUCACUCGUUAAAGCAGAUCCGUGGUCCUGAUCCAAAUUAUAAUGACAUUUGCUUUUCUGGUGCUGGAAGGUAUUAUCUAAAUAAGAAAAGAAUGUGUGAAUUGAAUUCCACAGAUAGAUGGGUUUCUUAUUGUUAUUGCGUGAUUAAAAGUCAAAUUGAUUUAAUGUCCUCAGUGAAGUCUCCCAACUUUCAAAUGCAUUUCCAACGGUUGACAUGAUAUUUGAACAUGGGCAAAAGUGGUCACUAUCACCUGAAAAUUACCUAUUCCGUGUGAGUAUUGAUCUUUCUAUCAUUUUUUUGAAGCAAAAAAGGCGGGACACGUGAAGAUAAGAGAAAUCCCGAUCUUUACAUGAAUUUUCAAUUUUAUUUGAACUUUAUCAAUUUGUACACUUUAUCAGUGACUUUCUGGCAUUGAGGCUGUUAUUUCUGAAAAUGCAUGUUUUAGAUGUUACUGCAAUGCAGUUUGAAACAUUUUAUUUUCUUGGAGUGUGUAUUAUCAUAAAUGCACAUCUAUGUUUGAAAUAUUCUUUAAUGACUUUAAUAUAUUCAAGGUCUCAUUUUGUAUCAGCGAUAAGUACAACAACAAUGAGAAGCAGACCUAAAGUGGUAUUUAAUUGAAUUGGCAUGUUGACAUAGUUGGCGAGUUGAGAAAGAUUCCAACUAUUGGCAUGAGCCCGGCCUGAAGAUAUCUAACCUGAUUUUCCAUUCUUUUCAUAUACAACAUGGACCUUUUCUAGUGGGGUGCGUUUAGAGUGUUACUGUGGGAUCUAGUUAAUAGAUAAACUUCUACUAAGCCAUAUCAACUGCCAACCAGCUGUAGCUCAAUCCUAUCAGGUGUUGCAUGAAAGUAGAAUGCUCAUAUUGAUAAAGUUAAAACAAUUGGACGAAAUCAGUAAUUCAUACAAAUAUCAAGACCUUUUGGACUAUUAGGCCUGAGUAUAUUCCUGUAAAUAUAUUUGUGCUUUAUCAAUGAGGAAGCUCAUUUUUUAUGGGAUUGAGAGUUUUUUGGUUUCAACGACAGUAUUUGAUGUGACGCACUGAUGAAGCCUGUUCUUCUUUUUUUUUUUUUUUUUUUUUUUCUCAUGAAGCAUACAAAAGUCCCCGGUGCAUACUGUCUUGGGAUAUUCCCAAAUGGGAAGGAUCCAACUACUCUUCUAGGAGGUAUGCAAUAUAUGAGCUUUUAUUUGCGUUGUAUUCUAAAGAUAUUUAAGUCAGUUUAUGCUCCCUUGGCAAUAGAUAUGUUUUCUAAUUAUUUCUAUCAUUUACUACCAAAUUUGUUUCUAAUUUAUUUUACUAAUAAUAAUUUUAUUUUGGAUGCAAUAACAGGAAUAAUUGUCCGCAAUACUCUUGUGAUGUAUGAUCGUGAAAAUUCAAAGGUGGGUUUCUGGAAGACCAAUUGUUCUGAGCUAUGGGAAAGACUCCACAUAACUAGUGCUGCAGCACCAUUACCUUCAGAUUCAAAUGGCACAAACAUAACUGUAGAAAUACCGCCUACAUUGGCUCCUAGUGACCAACUGCAUUAUGUUCUUCCAGGUUUGGUUCGCUUGUGGUUUGUGCAAUUCUUAUGUUUUAUAUGUCAUUUAAACUCACUACGUUAGCAUACCCUUUUUGUGUCGACACCAUACCACAUAGCGUAAGAUGCUAGUUACAGUGAUAUGACAUUCAUGAUGGAUUUCUUGAAUAAAAAGUUAUAGUGCAGACGUUUCGGCAACUGGGUUGCAGAGAAAAAAUGACAUUUAUUUUCUUGUGAUGACUUGGUUGGUUAUCAAACCUUCAUCAAUCACAGAUGCUUUCCCAAUUUCUUUUAUUUUCUUUGUUAUGAUUUGGCUUUGACAAAGUCAGUCAUUCUGUUUUCUUUUUGUCACCAGAUCUGACUGGUGGACUUCAUUCAAACUAUAUCUCUAGUAAAGAGAUUAAAAAGUAGGGACUACAGAUUAAAAAUAACUAUAAGGGGAUAAUGGAAAGAAAUACUAGUGAAAGUAGGCUAAUUGUGAGAUGUAAAGGAACAUUCGAAAUAAUUUGAUCCCUAAGUCCAAAUCAUGCACUUAUAUAUCUUGUCUUUUUGUUGAGACAAGAGACAAGAGCCAGCUACUUGAUACUGAAGUUAUUCUCAAUUUGUAGCAUUGUCAACACGUCAUGUUGCUCUUUUAGUCUGUUAUCACAUCUUGUUUGAGAUGCUUUCGGACAAUGGUUUCUCAUUAACUUUUAUUGACAGAUGAACUUCAAAUUGGACAAAUAACAUUUGAAAUGUCACUGAAAGCCAACUACUCACAUUUGAAGAUUCAUGCUACAGAACUUAUUGGAUUCAUUGCUCAACAGUUAGGUGUUAAUUCUUCCCAGGUUAGAAAAAUUUUAUAUUGGAAGGUUCCUUUGCAUCAUUUGCAUAAAACUAGUGCAAAUUACUCAUUUGCUCAUUGAAAUCUAAAAUUUCUUCUUGACCAGGAUAAAAGAAGUUAAAAAUCUGUCUUGUAAUUAAUGCUGCUUAUGAUAAAUGAUUUUUUUUUUUUUUUUAUACUUCUGCCUGAGUUCCUUCCUUCAGGGGCGACAAUAAUCAUACUUGAUAAUUUCAGGUCCAUUUACUGAAACUCGCUUCUAAAGGAAAUGAUUCACUCAUUGGAUGGACCAUAGUCCCUUCAGGAUCUGCUGACCACAUUUCUAAUGCUACUGCUCUUGUAAGUUUGCUUUUGUAGAAGCAUGACUGUGAAUUUAUGGAAGAUUGAAACUGUUUACUUAUUUUUUGGUUCUACCUGCAGAGUAUAAUUUCCCGGGUUGCUGAACAUCACAUUCAGCUUCCUGAUACCUUUGGAAGUUACCGGUUGGUUCACUGGAAAAUUGAGCCUCCAGCAAAUCGGUAGGCUCUUUUUUUGUCACUUUAUGGGAAACUAUUAAUCCCAAGUUCAGUAUGACUUUCAAAUUUAAAUAGUUAUUUUUGUGUCUUUAAUUUAUUAAUCAGCUGGGCAUGUUAUAAACAUAGUGACUUCUGUUUAACUUUCAUCACAUAUCCUUCUUCUUAUUAUAGUUUUACGUUACCUUUCUUUUAUUGUUUAAUGUUUACUUUUAUGCAUUAAUUGUUAUUCUGGUAUAGGCUGAAGUUAUUAUGUUUCUGCAAGUAAAUAUUACUCUCUUUUAUGUAAUCAUGCAGGACAUGGUGGCAGCAACAUUAUUUAUUCGCAGGCUUAGUCGUUAUUAUCGUUCUCAUUCUUGGAUUAUCAGCUUCUGGAUUAUUGUUUAUUUGGAGGUGUAGAGAACAAACAUUCAGUGCAUAUAGACCCGUCAAUACAGCAGUUCCUGAGCAAGAACUACAGCCAUUGUGAACCCCCAGUGGUUGUCCGUGCUUCGUGAUUUACGCUGUAUGUACUGUAUUCGGUUAGCUUUUUUUAUAUAUAUAUAGCCUCGAAAUGCUGUAAAUUUGCAAGCGGAGCUACUGAAUCUACAAUCAAAGGCCUUACCAAAUUAUUCAUCAAACAGGGAUGUAAAGAAGGAAUUGCAGAAAUGUAUUCCUUUGUUUUCUUUCUACUUUACAUGUUGCUUUUGAUAAACACUUGCUUAAUUUUUCCUACCAGCUAGUUGUUACAUACAAUGUGAACUUCUAACCGCUUGAUUUGGGAAAAAUCCUAGGUAGAUUAUGCAACUCACACCAGCUAUGCACUAAUUUUGUUAGGGUGACACAGGUAAGAAUAAGAGACGAUGUGUGAAUAUGGAGAGAUUCUUAUAUAGACUACGUGAGCUAUAGACAAAUCCAAUGGAAUAAUGUUACCUUAGAAAUUUGUUGAAAGCUCAAACAAAAGGGAAUUAUUAUUAUUACUUUUAUAUAUAAAAUACUAAUUAAAUAAAAUGAUUUUGACCUUGGAAAUGAGGAUUUUAUCAUCCAUAUAUUUCAUUAAUAGCAAUGUUUGGUGUUUCAAAUGUAAAAUUAUGAAGCAUCAACAUAGUAUUAAAAUCAAACAUUAAAAAUACUAAAAUUAAAUUAUCUAAUGAUCUUAAAAUUUAUUUUGAAAUAAUAAGGUCAAUUAACUAUUUGAUAUAUGAGUAUUAUUCAAAUCACAACUAGUUAGUAAAAUUACUACUAAACUUGGUCCUAUUAGACUAUCCAAAUAUACAGUAUAGAAAAUACUAUUUUUACCGUUAAAUACUCCAUAUAUUUGAUUGUUUGGUCUUUCACAUUUAAUAUAACUAGUCUUUUGUAUGUUGACUAUGCUCAUUAUAUACUCAUUUUUUUUUAUCUAUAUAAUAUUAAAGCAUAAUUUUUGUUUAGAUUAAAAUAAAUACAAGUGGUUAAUUUAUAUUACACUUUGCCGUACAAGCUACUUGUAAUAAUACUUAUUAUAUAUUUAAUUCUAUUUUUAUAUAAUGAAGUGGUCUUAGCAGAUUUUUAAAAUUCUAAUAGGUGCUUAUUAUAUACUCAUUUUUUUUUAUCUAUAUAAUAUUAAAGUAUAAGUUUUGUUUAGAUUAAAAUAAAUACAAGUGGUUAAUUUGUAUUACACUUUGCCGUACAAGCUACUUGUAAUACUACUUAUUAUAUAUUUAAUUCUAUUUUUAUAUAAUGAAAUAAUCUUAGCAGAUUUUUAAAAUCCUAAUAGGUGCUCAAAAAGAAAAUUAAGUCAUCACACAUUCUCUAACCCCUGCCCUCAAUCCAAAUCUAAUAUCUACAUACAACUAUAAUGAAAAAUAAUAAUAAAUUAAUUUUUACUGCUAAAUAAAAAAAAAAAAUGAGAGGAUGAUUAGAAUUAAUAAUGGAAAUAAUUUUGACUACAAUGACAGUAUUAUUUACCUAAUGUAUCUGAGAAAAGAAUAUAUGUGCAUAUACAAAAAUUCUUGAAACCCCAAAAAAGUGAUCCAAAUAUAACUAUAUAGUUCUAGUUUUUUUUUUUUUUUUUCCAGUUUUCUAACACUAUUUGCUUUUGAAUCAAACAGAUUUGGAAUAUAAGAGAAAAAAAAUAUCAGAAAAAUUAAAAAUGCUUAAUCAUCAAUAGACCAUCUACUUAUUAUAAGGGAUAUAAAUCUCUUACUAAAUUAAAAUGAUAGUAGUUAUAAAUUAUUCAAUAAUGAAAAAAAUAAUAAAAAAUUAUUAUUAAAAAUAAAACUCUUUCAAAACUCAUCUAACAAAAAAAUAUUUCAAUGUACAUACAUAUAUAAAUAAAUUAAUAAAAUAUUAUAUAUUUUUUAAAUUAAAAAUUUCAACCAUUUGCAUCUAAGGUUUAAUUAUGUAAGUUUAUUUAAAAACUUACUCUUUAAAAAAUAUAUCCAAUCAAAAUUUACAAACAUAAAGAAAAAAUGUUAAUAAAAAUAAUAUAUUUUUUUCUUUUUUCAUCCCUCCUAAAAAAAAUAUUAUAUAUAUUUUAUUUAAAAAUUUAUUUAAAAAAAUAUAUUCAAUCAAAUCAUACAAACAAGUAAAGAAAAAAAAGAAUAUUAAUAAAAAAUAUUUUUUUUUUUUCCUUUUUUUAUCUAUAUCCUAGAAGAAUUUCUAUUUAGUUUUCCAUUUAACAAUAAAAAUGAGAGUUUCUAAAAGAAAGAAAUUAAUAAUAUAAGAAUGUGAUAGCAAUUUGUUAAUUACUCAAAAUAACAAUAAUAAAGAAAUGAAACAUGCAUUGGUUUCUUCCUAGGAAGUUUCUACGACAAAUCCAAAGCUGACAUUCCAUUCCAUUCUAAGGAAUCGGUCAUUAUUUGAUUAUUUCCAUGGUGCUAAGCGUACACUAGAAGAAUAUACUAAUUCUGGUCAAACAGGAUUCCGGAGCCAUUAACCAAAAAUAAAACGUUAACAACAAUACUAUUCUUUAAAAGUGAAUGAAUAUUGUUUAUAUAAUAAAUAUAAAAUUUUUAACAUAUAUAUAUCUAAAACUCAAUAAUUUCACUUAAUUAUAUAUUUAUUAUAACUAAAAAUGAAAAAUUAACAAAGUUAUACAAAUAUUUCUUUUCAUUGUACCGCUUGAAAAUCAAUUAUGUUCUUCAGUAAUAAUUUUAUAAUUCUUUUUUUCAUAUCCAUAGAAUUAAUUUGUUACUAAUACCUAAAAAAAAAAUUCUUUUUGCAUUGAUAAUUUAUAAUGUAAAAUCAUAUAUAAUAUGGUGAGAAUUUUUUUUUUUAAAUGAGUUUUUGGUAAAGAAAAUUGGUAAAAGUAAAACCAACCUCUUUAUCGGCUACCUAAUGAAUAAAUUAACCAUAUUAAAGUCAAUCUUAAUCGAUAAAUAAUGCUCUAAAUAAAUUACAUAUAGUAUUAUUUUUAUAGAUCAAAAGUUCUGAAAGCCAAAAAGUAUAUGAAAUUACAUUUUCUUCUCUUCAUAUUUGUUUGGCUUAAGAGUUUUAUUUUUUGAAAGGAUAAGAAAUUAUUUGUAGGUUUUUAUUUAAUAAAUAUACUAAUUAAUCUUUCAGAUUUAAGGUCGUUAAAUUAUUUAUUCAUUCAAUUUAAAAAGUAUAAUUUUAGAGAUUAAUGCUCUAUAAAAUUUUAUAUUCAGUCAUUACUAUUUAAUAUAAUUAUAUUAUUUCGUCUCUCAUGUUUACUACUAAAUUACUAUUUAGUCUGUUAAUUAAUAUUGAAAUUUUUUUGGAUGGACGAUUAAAUAAUUUAACAAAACUAAACUUAAAAACUAAUUUGUUUAUUUACCAAAAGAGACCAAGUUAUAAAAGAAAUUGAGACUUAAUAGUAAUUUUACCUGUAUUUCAAAUGGAGCAAUACAAAAAAUUUAAAAUUUCAGUUGGAAAAUAUCGAAGUGUUAUAGCAAAUAUAUAAUUUUUUUGAGAUGAUUAUAUAAAUAUAUAAAUGUUUUAAAAAUACAGAAUAUCAAAAUAAAAAAAAAAAGAAAGACUGAAGAAUGAAAUGGUCAACAACGAAGAAACAGAACCCACUUGCCAUAUUAUAGUUUGUUAAAAAGAAAAUCGAACAUAUAAUAAAAUAUAUACAAAAUUACGAGAAUGUCCCACUUUCCAACCAAAUGCACCUUAUAAUUAAUUAAAUAGAGCCCCAACAAACAAAUAUAGACGAAGAAAUAAAAUAAAACAAAUAUAAAAAAAUGAAAAGGCAAUGACUAUGACAAACGGGCAGAAGAUUGAAAAAAAAAAAAAGAAAAAAAAAGGGAAAAAACACAGCUUUAGCUCAAGAGAAGAAGAAUAAGCUAAAUCUUUUUGUGAUCUUAUCAUAUGAGAAUUGAAAUACUAAAACCUCAAAGAACUAAACUUUCUCUUUGAUAAUUUGGUUUCAUCAGUUAUAUUCGCUACAGGUAAUGCUUUUUUCAUUUUUUCUUGUUCUUGUGAUUUGAUCCAUCUAGGGUUUCUCAUUUUCUGAGCUUAAUUUCUUAGUUGCCUACAAAAUCAAGUAUUUGGGGCUGAAUUCAGUAACUUUUGUUUGUUUUUCUUUCAUUUCUUUUAAGGUUCAUGCUUGCCUGUUUUGAAGUUUAAACUAUAAAGCCACCAUUUGCAUUUUCUUUUUUUUGCAGAACUGAAUAUUUGAAGGUCGUAGGAUUCUUCUUUUGUGUUUUAGAUUUAUACAAGUCUUUUUUUUUUCCUCUUUAAUUUAUAUAGUUUGUUGAAGUGAUUGAAUAAGUUUAAGGUUUUAGUAUUUGAUAAUUGGUUGUUGUUCUGUGGGUUAUUGUUUACAUUUCUGAUGUUGGAAGAAGUUUGAAUCUCUUUCUUGAUCUUAGUUCUUAAACGUUUCUUAGGAUAGUUAUCUGGGAUUUGACUUAAUUGACUUCAUAUCUCUUUGGUUUUGCUUCUUGGUGCCAUUGACCUAAUGGCUGCUAGUUUGCAAAUUGGUUGGGGAGGUGAAAGUUGAAUAAUUAUUGACUGAAUUAGUUAGUGAUUAUGGAGGGUGGUUUGCUUAUUGUUUCGUAUAUGAGUAUUAUAAAUAUAUAUGUCCAAAUUUGUGGAAUUGUGGAAAAAGUUGCUGUCCGCUUCAGUCAGGACUCAGAUUAUGCUAUUGGAAGCAGGAAUUACUAGGUGUGGAAUUCACUUUGCUUUUAGGGAGGACUUUUAGCUAUUGUGGCUCUCCAAACACUUAUUCAAUGAAGAAGGAUUUUAAAUUACAAUGUGAUAUAGGGGGAGAUUAUUUUCACUGUUAUGUAAUUUGUGUUACUAAAAACUUGUGAUUUUUGGUAUAGUCUACUUCUACUGGGUUUAUUUCCCUUGUGAUUGGCAUGGGCUAGGUCCAUUAUCCUGAUAACCUUUAGCUUAUGCAAAUAUUCUUACAUUGAAUGUUUAUCUUGUUGAGCAAAAUAUUAAAUACCAUCUUUCGAGUCCUUCGGCUUGACUAAAACCAACUCAUUUUAUGUUACCUAUGAAGCAUAUGAUGGCUAGUGGCUCGAAAAGCUAUUCUAUUAAUUCGAGUUUGUGUUUUGAAAUCUCAGAAGAUAUCCUAUAUGCCGUCUUUUAUUUAUAUUUAGUUUUUGAAAGGGAAGGGUGGGGGUAGCGGGUUUGAAGAAGGAACAAACACAAGUAGUUGAAGGGGACUUCGUUUGUAACAAAAGUCAAGUUUAGGGGUUACUGGUGAUAAAAAAUAAAAACCAGGAAAUUUCCUUUUCCCUGAUAUACACUGGAAAUUGAAUUGUUUCUACAGAUUUGUGAGGUCCAUAAGAGAUGUGAUUUAAAUACACAUGAGUUCGCCGUCCUUUUGAGCCUCUUUAUCUGCUAAGUAUUUAUGAGCAGAUUGAAAUGGCAUGGUCAAUGAGAUCAGUUGGAUGUCGAUGACUAUGCCUAAGAUGAUUUUAACUAAUGAAAAUGAUGGAGAAACAUAACUAUCAAUUUCGAACUAAGUCUUUUCCUUUUUCUGAUGACACAAAUCAUUAGCAGAAAUGGAAAAAGAAAACAAGAUGGUUACUUGUUAUAUUCCUGGCAACCAUUGCACAGUUAUAGUCCUGUCUAGAGCUAUUAUCGCUUAGAGCUCAAACCUAUGAGUCAGGAAAUGUUUGUUUUUAUUGGCAGACUCAGAUGACGGACACUGCCUUUUAUCUUCUUUCUUAAAUACUAUUUAAAGGACAUUAGGAAAGACUUGGCAUAAUAAUUGUACUGAGAAUUAUCUAAGAAGGUUUACUUACUAAUGUUUCAUAUUGGAAAAAUUAUAUCAAUGCAUAGAAUUUAAUUUUCUGUCCAACUUGAUGUUGUAUUUUUCUGAUAGAGAUAAUAUGGAAAUUUAUUUUUGUACAGGAGUUUCUGGCUGAAAGCAACAAUUCCAAGAAUUUCUUAAGUUUAUCAUGGUUCUCGAAAUGUUUUUUCUUUGUUUUCCACAGUAUUGACGAUUAUUAAUGUGAGAGAUUACUUUGGCAUUUCAAGUAAGAAGUUUGUUGUGAAAAAGGUACCGUUCCUGCUCUUCCUAAUUCUGUGAUCUCUUCCUUUUUUUUUCCUGUGAACAAAUAAAGUUGCUUUGUCUGUAAGUGAUUUUUCUCCCUAAUAAGUUUUGAUAGUAGUGGUGAGAGAGAGCAGGAUUGUCUAAAAUUCAAUAGAGAUAGAGUUUGACUAGUGAAAAAAGGAUUAUGUAUUUAUAGAAUUUUGUGCUGUAUUUUAGUGUGGUUAUGGUAUUUAAUUGAAAUUAAGGUUCUGUAGUCUUUGUUAACAUUGAAUCCCUGUUGAUAUGAAAACUGUCUGUUAUGUAAUCUUAGCUUGUCGCUGUUAUUCUAUGGUCUUUUGCUUUUCCUUCUUUUGUGUGAUGGUUAUUUCUGUGUUGUGCUUUGCGACACUUGUAUGCUGUGCUAGUUGGAAAUAGAAAAUUACACAGCUUUUUCUUUUUGGGCUUGUGAAUUAUUGUUUAUCACUAUUGACAAUUUGAUGCAAACACUAGUGGAAUAAUAACAACACGAACCACUGAUGUCUUAAAUAGUAUCUAACUUGGCUGGGCAUGUUACUACAUCUUAGUGUUGGCUUUUAUGCACUGAUAUUUUCAAUCCACUGGCUCCUUGCAAGUUACCAUCAUCUAAAUAUCUGCCCUUCACCUUACCUUCUUCCAGCCAAACAUGCGGAACACUUAUUUAUUUAUUUUUCCAUAAUGCACUGCAUGUCUAAAAGAGACAGUACCAUCAACACAACCAGUACUGUUGAAAGUGUAAAGUUUGUGGAUGUGUUUUCUUUUAAUAAAAACUAUACUUGGUAAAUGGGAGAGAGGAGUAUAGGCAUCAUAAAUUUUGACGGAACUUUUCUUUUCAGUUAUAUCGUGAAAUAAGAAACAUCUAUAUCUUUUAGUAAUCUAGACUAUUUCCUUUAAAAGAUGGUUGGCAAGAAACACCUGAUACUUUUUAUGGUGUUGAUGCCUCAUUUAUCUAUUCAUAUGAUUGAAUAUAAACUUUUAGUGUUGAGAAUAAUAAAGAGAGACAGGAUUGUCGUGGUUAUCGAAUCAGGUUACCUGUGCAAUGAAAGUACACAAUGAUAGUGGGCAAUGGGAUAGCGUGCUAACUUUAUAUUACCUUGAACUAUAUGAUGCCUGUAAAGUAAAUAUUUAGAUAUCUGCUUCCACGCACUUAUAUAACCAUGAAUCUGUGCCUUAACGCUUCCUUCAGUGUUAUAGGUCUAAAGAAGCUUCAUGGUGUUUGCUAAUUUAUUACUAUUUCUUUCUUUUUGUUGGUGCACUUCGUGAUUUUUCCCAUGAUGCAGGUGUGAUGGAAAUAUCAUUGUUGAAAGCACUCCUUAAUGGCAUCUCCUCUUUUUUACAUUUAUUGUCCACUGAAAACUUAAGCUCAGACCUGGUUCAGAAGUAUUACCAGAAGGCAGAAGAGAUAUUAAAGCUGUUGAAGCCUAUACUUGAUGCCAUUGUUGAUUCUGAAAUGGCUUCUGAUGAAGUGCUUAAUAAGGCAUUUGAUGAAUUGGGAAAAUCUAUUGAUGAAUUGAGGGAGCUCUUUGUAAACUGGCAACCAUUAUCGAGUAAAGUUUAUUUUGUAAGUGCCUAGCCAUAUUUUUAUGAUUUUAUGUAGGCCUAAUAAACAAAAAACCCAAAACUUUUUGGAAAAUUGUACUUGUACCCGAACCUCCUAACUAAUAUUAUUUUACCCUAGAAUUAGUUGAAAUUAUAUGCAUUUGGACAAAAUAUACUGAAAAAUAGACUAUUAUACAUCUCUUUUUUUUUUUUUUUUCGGCUACUCAUCUCCAAACUCAACUCUAUCAUAAAGCUCCAUUAGUCUCUUCUUAAUCGCAAAAAAUUAUGGAUACAAGUUUAACCAAAUGUGUAUAAUUGCAACUAAUUUUCGGUAUUAGGGUAAAAUAGUCUUUGAGGUUUGAUUACAGUUGUGUUUUUUUUGGUGAUUAGGCCUUUUAAAUAGCAUAUUUAAGCUGCUUUAUAUUUUGGGGGAAAUACCUAACCUGAGCUUGCUUAUGACAAUGCAUGUUUGACCAAUAUAUUUUACCUUAAUGAGAAUUGUUAAUAUAAUUUCUUUAUUUAUAAUCAGCAUGUUUUGAUUUGUACUUUGCAUGAGCUGAGAUUGCUGUUUGUGGCACAGCCUGUCUUACACUCCCCUGAAACUCCCUCUGCAGAAGUGUUACUAAAUAAUUUGUAUGCAAUUCAUUAUGUUCUGAUCCACAAGUUUUUUCAGGUCUUCUGCUUUCAAUUAGUCUCUAAGUCUCUAUAGAAAACAUAAAUAUGCUGGUAUUUGAGAGUAGGUUUUGGUUGUAAUUUAUCUGUGACGUGGCAGCUUUAUUAGAUGCCUGAGACUAAUGUAUUAAUGGUGGUCAGUCUAUCUAUAACAAGAGGGGUGGCUUAAAGUUUGAGGUUGUGCUAUAGUGAUCACCAUUUUACGGUGAAACUAAUGAUGUGAAAUGCGGAGAUUGGUGUUGGUAUGGGGUUUGGUUAAGCAGUAAGUGUGUACAAGAGAGAUAUGGAGUGGGAGAGGGGUCGGAUAAAAUUCUGCUGAGAUGGUGGGCAACCUGUUUCACCCUUGUAAGGAUAACAAUUAUGGUGUUGGGAGUUGCAAUGUAACAGAGAAUAAUCAUGAGAUGAAUUCUUGAAAAUCUGUGUUCCUUGUUUUAGGCUAAAAGGAAAAUUGCUUUGUUUGCAUUCAACUGAAGCUUGGACAUCAUCAUCGUUAUGAUUUUUAUAAAAUAGCUGUCGUCUCCAAAUAAUCAAGGCAUUUAAUAUACAGUGACUAUCAUCUUUUGGAGUUGUUCAAGUAAAAUGCAACUUUUUUCAGUUGUCAUUUUAUUAGUGUUGUCUUUAUGCUUGUCAUUCUCAUCAAAUAUAGUGUAGGUUUUUGAGAUACCUGAGUUGUUGUGGUAUUGCGGCUUUGAAGAUUAAAUUGCGAUUGUAAGUUAGCCUCUGUUAUUGACAUAUAUCAUUCAUACUUCUAGUGGGAUCUCUUUCUUUAUUUGUUGAUAAACUUAUCCUAUGUUCAAACCCUUAAAGGAGGCUAAAGUAUCCUUUUUAAAUCAUUUUUUAAUCAUCGUAUCAGUGUAAAUUGGUGACUUGACUGAAUCAGUUAUCAGUGCAAAGUUUCAAUUUAUCUUGCUGUUAACAUCGCUUAACUUAUACUUUUGUUCCAUUUUAAUGUUCCUUUCCUACUAAUUUCAAAAAAUUAUUACCUUAGAAUUGAUUAUCUAGGAGGCAUUUUGCUUGCAUGUAUUGUUCCUUGAUGAAUAAAAAUAUAACACUCUCUUCUUAGGUUGAUUCAUAAUGAAUGCAGCAACUCGCUGAAAAAGUGAAAAAAACAAAAGGAGCAAGAGAAUAAUGCUGAACAUAUGCAACCUUUCUUAUGGAUGAGGGUUUUUGACCAUCAAAUUUUUUCUUUUUGUCUAGAUUCUGCAAGCAGAAUCAUUAAUAUCAAAGGUUCGGACUUUUGGCCUGGAUAUUUUUCAGCUGCUGAAGUCUUCUCCUCGACAUCUUCCUGAUGAAUUAAGUUCAUCAUCUCUUGAGGUAAUCAUCCCUGAAAACUUGUUUGAAGCUUCUGUUGUUAAGUUACAGAUCAUUGAAACAUUGAAGAAUCAUGCAUUUGGAAUAUGAGAGAAUUAAUUUAUAAAUUUAUUCAGGUUCUUAUAAAUUUAUGUUUAAUAAGUAUUGACAUUCUUGAUUGCAGUACUGCUUACAGAAAAUUAAGCAAAUGGGAUAUGAGCAAACAUCCUCUGUUGUCAGAGAAGCUAUUAGGGACCAAGCGGAGAGCGUUGGACCCAGCUCAGAGAUCCUAGUGAAAAUUGCAGAGAGCCUAAGCUUGAGGUCCAAUCAGGAGAUUCUGAUUGAAGCAGUGGCCCUUGAGAAGUUGAAGGAGAAUGCUGAACAAGCUGAAAAUCCCAGGGAAGCUGAGUUAUUUGAUCAAAUGAUUUCUCUUGUGACUCACAUGCAUGAUCGACUUGUCCUGAUGAAACAGUCCCAGACCAGUAGCCCAGUCCCAAUACCCGCUGAUUUUUGCUGUCCUCUCUCUCUUGAGUUGAUGACUGAUCCGGUGAUUGUGGCAUCAGGGCAAACCUAUGAGCGUGCAUUCAUUAAGAACUGGAUAGAACUUGGGCUCACUGUUUGCCCCAAGACAAGGCAGACUCUGACUCACACCAAUCUGAUACCUAAUUACACCGUGAAGGCACUCAUUGCAAAUUGGUGCGAGUCAAAUAAUGUGAAGCUGCCUGAUCCUGCGAAAUCUGUGAGCUUCAAUCAGCCUUCACCACUUCUUGUACACGCUGAGUCUGGCACACCCAGGGAUUUACAUGUUGUUUUUCCUCAUUCCAGGGGAAACCAACCGAUGUCUCCUGAGUCAACUCGUUCAACUGGUUCUCCUGGCAGGAAUUGGAUAUCUUCUGGUGCAAUUCAUCGAGAGGGAGCUUCUCCACUUCAUCCCCGUUCUACUUCUGAGGGUUCAUUGUCGGGUAUAAUAGGAAAUGAACGGGGUUUGGACUUGAUGAGAAUAUCAUUAACCAAUUCUGAGGAAAGGUCUGCUAACUUGGAAGGAAAGAGCUUGGAUUCAGUUGUCCACCACUCUCUAUCUCCAUCUAGAAAGGAAGUUUCAAAUUCUUUUAGAGCUGAUGAACCAAUAGCUCAGAGCCACAGUAGAAGUGCCUCAGCCUCCAGCACACUUCCUAAUGCAAACUUUUCUCAAGGAGCACAGGGAGAUAAUAAUGAGUCUUCAGAGGUGUCAAACCAUCUUGCUUCCUAUAGCAGUGAUAAUUCUGGGGAGGUAAAAGCAGAACCACAGGCUUCUACUGCCUCAAACACCUCUCACAGAGAACAUGAAUUCCCACCACGGUCACGAAGUCAAACUAUCUGGCGCCGGCCAUCAGAUAGGCUUGUUCCAAGAAUAGUUUCUUCCCCUGCUAUUGAAACAAGAGUUGAUCUUUCAGGUGUAGAAACCCAAGUUCGGAAGCUGAUUGAGGACUUGAAUAGUGAUUCAGUUGAUAUUCAAAGAGAGGCAACAUCUGAACUCAGGUUACUUGCGAAGCACAACAUGGAUAAUAGGAUUGUUAUCGCACAAUGUGGGGCAAUUAGUUUGUUAGUUAACUUACUUCGAUCAACUGACUCAAGGAUUCAGGAAAAUGCUGUCACAGCACUUCUUAACUUGUCAAUUAACGAUAACAAUAAAACCGCUAUUGCUAAUGCAGAUGCUAUUGAACCUCUGAUUCACGUUUUAGUAACUGGAAGUCCAGAGGCUAAGGAGAACUCAGCUGCCACUCUCUUUAGCCUUUCAGUGAUUGAGGAUAACAAGGUCAGAAUAGGACGAUCUGGAGCUAUUGGUCCUUUGGUUGAUUUAUUGGGGAAUGGAACUCCAAGGGGAAAGAAGGAUGCAGCUACAGCAUUGUUUAAUUUGUCAAUAUUUCAUGAAAACAAGGCUCGGAUUGUACAAGCUGGUGCUGUUAAGCACCUUGUAGAGUUGAUGGACCCAGCAGCUGGAAUGGUUGAUAAGGCAGUAGCUGUUUUGGCUAAUCUUGCAACAAUUCCUGAGGGAAGGGUUGCAAUAGGUCAGGAAGGUGGAAUCCCUGUUCUGGUUGAGGUUGUUGAGUUAGGUUCUGCAAGAGGGAAAGAAAAUGCAGCUGCUGCUCUUUUGCAGCUUUGCACAAACAGCAGUAGGUUCUGCAACAAUGUUCUCCAAGAAGGCGCUGUGCCACCAUUAGUGGCAUUAUCACAGUCUGGCACCCCAAGGGCUAAAGAAAAGGUAUACUGUGAGAUAUGUUUUUCCAUAAUCAAGGUGUUGUUUUUCUUUAUCUUCUCAGAAGGUUAUAUUACGAGCUUUUGUUUGCUUGCAGGCUCAGGCACUUCUUCAGUACUUCAGAAACCAACGACAUGGUAAUGCUAGGGGCUGAUUUGUUUAAAGAUCAUCCUGUCAAUGCAUCUGAGGUUUUGAUUCGGUUCUAUACAUAGUGUGUACAUUUGAUAUUGCAAAUAACGCAAUUUUUUUUUUUCUGCUUGGAUUUUACAUGAUUUGUAGAGGAAAUUGAUUUACAGGGGACGCGAUUGAGUCCUUGUGAAAAAUGUUUUACAUGUUAAUGUGAGUUAAGUCUUUUUAGAGAGAUGGAGAAAGGCUGAGUAUUCGGGCGUUGUUGUGUCUCAUUUCUUUCUAUGCAUGACUUUUGUUGUCUCAGGAUGUUUUAGGAUAUUCAUUUAUUAUUUUUCUUAAUGCUGCCAGUAAAUUGAGGAAUCUUUUCUAAUUAUGCUGGUCUUGCAAGCCAAACACAUUUGGAAUUCGGAAUUGCAAUUGUUGAAGUUGAAACUAAGCAAAGUGCAAACUAGUUCCAUAUCUUACAUUUCUCUUUCUUCCUUUUUUUUUUUUUUUUUUUUUUUUUUCAACUUGUAUUUCAAAAAGUUUUUCUGACUUAUAGCUUUGCAUUGAUAUUAAUUAUCAAAGCGGAUAUUUGAAAUAAAAAAUUCAUACAUUCACUAGUUCCAUACCUUCACUAGUUUAGGUCGAGGGCGUUGGUGGUGGUUGUUGAUAUAAUAUAAAUAUAUGUUUUAUUUAUUUUUUUUUUAAGAAGAAAUCAAAGUAAAAAUUUCAUUAAGAGGAAACUGUAUACAUAUAUAUAUGAUACAGAUUUAGAUGUUUCUAUGUUUUUAUAUUUUUGUAUAGAAAGUCUAAUAAUAAUCUAUUUAUACAAAGAAUAAAAAAAUACAAUUUUGAUUUGAAGUAUUGAUUGAGUUGAUAGAACAUAAUAUUUGUGUAAAAGGUGAUCGCUUGCUUCACUUGGGCGCUAUUUAUAGCCAUUAUUCGACUCUAUAAGUCCAAUUUGAUUUCUUUCGAAAAUCUGCACUUAUUUUUGCAUAAACGCUAGGCAAAAUCAUCAUUAUAAUGACAAGAAUAACUUAUAAUUAGAUCUGACAACAAAACCAAAAUCUUGUUCUUCUAGAACCAAGAUCUUCCCUCUUGGCAAGAGAUUAUGAAUGGCUCCACGUAGCCAAUUUUGAUUGGUUCCCAGUAUAUAGGGUGACAAUAAAUCUCAAUAACUGAAUAAUAAUAUACAGAUUUGAGAAUUAUUUGCAAAAAUAUAAAUAAAAAAAGAAAAGAAAAAGAGGUGACCAUCAGUGAAAGCUCAUCGGCAGUCGCCCAUGGAAGGGAAGAAGAAAAAUAGAGAGCGCAUAGGUUUUUUUUUUUUUUUUUUGGAGAACAAAUAAUUACAUCAACUUGAUUAGAUUGACGAAAUUAUUUUAUUUAACUAUAUUAAAUGAGAGAUAACAUAUUAAAGUUCACAUAUUAAACGUUAUAAUUAUUAUGACUAGAGAUUUUUCAAAGAAUUUAUAGAAAGAAAAUUAAAUUUUCAAAAUCCUUUUGGACGUUCAAAUCAUGUAGAAAGACGAUAAAAGAAAAUUUAAUCCAUCCUAAUGAAUAGUAACGUUCUUACUAAAAAAUGAUUGAGUAUUUAAAUUAACAUGAAAUAUAAAAUUAUAAAAUAGAAUGUAGUCACAUAAUUAUUUUAAAUGAUUAAUUAUAGUAUAUAUAUAAUUAAUUAAGAAAGGCAAAUUCCCAAGGUCCUGUCAGUCACCGACGCGUGACUCUAAACAGACCCCACUUAGAGACCUCCUUUGGUAGUUGACACAUGGGAUGAUAAUUUAACCUACCAGAUUUUGGCGGGUUUAGGUAAUAUAGAAACGGAUUUGAGGUGGGUUUGGAUUGUGAUUUUAAUACAUGCAUUGGGUUUGGAGUGGAUAUGAGUUCAGGUGGGCGAGUAGUGGAUCAUUUAAAUUAAUUUAACUCCAAGCUACUUAAUAUUCUUGUAUAAUCUUUUUUUUUUUUAAAUCUUGUAUAAAAUAUACGUACAAUAUAUAUAUACCGAUAACUAUAAUAAUUUAUAAUUUAAAUAUUUAUUAAUGAAUAAAAUAUUAUUGGAAGUAAUAUAAUCUUAUGAAUAAGUAAACUUUUAAUAAAAUUAUGUCAAUUAAAUUAUAAUAUUUUAAUAAAUUGAAUUUAGUUUUUUUUUUUCAUAAAAUAUAUUAAACAAAAUCAUAUAUUUAGUAUUCAUGUCGUGUUUUAAUAAUUUAAUUGAAUAUUUUAUUGUUUGGUAAUUAUGAAAUUUAUUAAACAUAAAAAAAGUUUUUAAUUGAAUAGAAUGUUAAUAAUGUUAUAAUUAAAAUUUUUUAAAGCUACUUAUCAACAUCAAUAUUAAACUUUUAAUGAUAAUUAUAAUUCUAUCUUAAUUUGAAAUAUAACUCGUGUGAAAUGUGAAAUCUAGAUAGACUUUUAGUAAAUUAUAAUAUAACUCAUAUAAAAUAUCACUAAUAAAUUUAUAGACAUAAUUACAAUUAGAUAUUAGUAAAUAUCUUUUUAUUUUUUUAUUAGUAUCAUUAUAUAUACUAGUAUACUUAAACUUAGAAGUCUACUGUAUAUAUGUCACGACCCAUUUUAUUUCAUCGAAAUUUCUGAACGUUCUGUUUUUGGGCUUGGGCUCAAUUCAAAUUUGGGCUCAAGUUAGAAAUGCUCGGUCUUCACGACCCAUACUAUAAAAAAAAUUCGAAUUUUUGAUUUAAUAAAAAAUUCUAAAGUUUUGAAAAUAAAAAUUCGGGAUAUUACAAUCUCCCCCCCUUAAGACAAUUCGUCCUCGAAUUGAAUCUAGUGGGAAAGAAUAAGAAUGGAUGCAUGGAAAUUUUAAAGUUAUAUGAAAUUGCUUCCAAUACCAAGGAGACAGCUCGCGAGCAAAAAUAUAAAUCGAGGAAACGAAGUGAAUGAGGUAUUCUGCUUGUAUUUCUACCACCAAUCAUAUUUAAACCAAAAUUUCGUUCAAGCUAUACAAUACCACCUAGCUGAUACUUAUAGGAAGCUUUGUUACUUUAGCCUCUAAACUAUCAUCGGACAGUUGCUAGAAAAUCUUUCUUUAAAUAAAAAUCUUACAAUUAACCGAGCUUUACAACAAAAUGCUUAAUACUUAUAUUUUUCCCAAAUUAAAUUUUAUUACACAUUUCUUUAUGAAAACCAAAUACAUAAUUUGCAAAAAGUAAAACAAUUUGAAAUUUAAUUUGAUUUAUUUAUUUAACAUAUAUUAUGACGAAAUCUUUGCUUAAUCAAAGUCGAAAAACUGUUACUUUAAUCCAAGAUUUUAAGAAAAAUUUUCUUGAAAUUUUCAUUGUCUACAGGGUUAUUCGAGCUCACUCUCAGUUCUUUUAUACAAGUUCUAUUCUUGUUAAAAUACUUUUAUCGUACACUAGCGCAAUUAUUUAAAUAGCUCAUUUACUAUGGACAUUCCUGCACUAUUANNNNNNNNNNNNNNNNNNNNNNNNNNNNNNNNNNNNNNNNNNNNNNNNNNNNNNNNNNNNNNNNNNNNNNNNNNNNNNNNNNNNNNNNNNNNNNNNNNNNNNNNNNNNNNNNNNNNNNNNNNNNNNNNNNNNNNNNNNNNNNNNNNNNNNNNNNNNNNNNNNNNNNNNNNNNNNNNNNNNNNNNNNNNNNNNNNNNNNNNNNNNNNNNNNNNNNNNNNNNNNNNNNNNNNNNNNNNNNNNNNNNNNNNNNNNNNNNNNNNNNNNNNNNNNNNNNNNNNNNNNNNNNNNNNNNNNNNNNNNNNNNNNNNNNNNNNNNNNNNNNNNNNNNNNNNNNNNNNNNNNNNNNNNNNNNNNNNNNNNNNNNNNNNNNNNNNNNNNNNNNNNNNNNNNNNNNNNNNNNNNNNNNNNNNNNNNNNNNNNNNNNNNNNNNNNNNNNNNNNNNNNNNNNNNNNNNNNNNNNNNNNNNNNNNNNNNNNNNNNNNNNNNNNNNNNNNNNNNNNNNNNNNNNNNNNNNNNNNNNNNNNNNNNNNNNNNNNNNNNNNNNNNNNNNNNNNNNNNNNNNNNNNNNNNNNNNNNNNNNNNNNNNNNNNNNNNNNNNNNNNNNNNNNNNNNNNNNNNNNNNNNNNGGUGUACUGGGUGAUCAGGCCAUUACACCAAUUUCCAACUGAUCCUCUACUUCAAAAUUUUAUAGAGGGGAUUUAGCAAACUCAAAAUAUUUCGUUUAUAAAUGUCAGUUACCCAGACCUAUUUUAAUUUCCUAUUAUUUAUGUACCUUUAGUUCUCAUCCUAAGUUUGAUACAGAUUUCCUUCCAUCCUCGUGCACGAUGCGUCCAUCGGCACUAAAAUGGAAUUCAAUCCAGACUACAGCUCCUUUGUUGGUUACGGCCGAUCCCAACAGAGGAGUUCUCUAUUUAAAUUCCUAUGUUCCGCAAUUGAUUCCUAAGUCCCAACUUACGCUCUGAUACCAACUUUGUCACGACCCAUUUUAUUUCAUCGAAAUUUCUGAACGUUCUGUUUUUGGGCUUGGGCUCAAUUCAAAUUUGGGCUCAAGUUAGAAAUGCUCGGUCUUCACGACCCAUACUAUAAAAAAAAUUCGGAUUUUUGAUUUAAUAAAAAAUUCUAAAGUUUUGAAAAUAAAAAUUCGGGAUAUUACAAUAUAGAUUAAGGAUUACAGCAACCAUAAUUAAUUACAACCUACUAGGUAUAAUAUCUAAUAAAAAAAUAUUAAACUUAAUACUUUGUAUAAUAUUUUGUUAUUACACUUACUAUAAUAUUGAAAUAUAAUUAUAGCCUUAUAAUUAAUUAAUAAUUAAUAACUAAUAAUAACAAUAAUAAUAAUAACAACUUUAGGAAUAAUAAUAACUUUAAUAAUAAUAAUAACAAAAAUAACUAUUUUACCGUCAAAACGACGUAAUUUUGGUGUAGGAGGUUUAAUUGAAUCCACAACCAACACAACGUCGUUUUAGCCUAGGGUUGGAUUUUAAUCAUACAAACAGAAAGUUCUCUCAAACUCAAGUUAAACGUAUUCUCCUCCCUCCUCCCUUCCCUGCGCCGCUCGUUUUCUUCACUUCUACAGCCACUGUCUUACUUGAAGACCUUCCCGUUGCUUUCGUUCUUGGCCAUCGCCUCCGCAGCAGAUGUGCUCUUCAAGUGUACAAGUGCUCUUCAGCCGCAGGUUCGUUCUUGAUUUUUUUUUUAUUUCAUUCUCAUUUUUUAUUUUCGUUUUGCAUCGUUCCUUUUUUUUUUCUAUUUUAUUUUUGUAAACACGUAUAAAAAGACAGAAAGGAGGAAUUGUUGAAUUAAUUUAUGGGUUCAGCUUUUUGUACAAAAUGUAAAAUCUCUACAUGCAAAAAAUAAAAUGUAUUUCUGCAACAAUUCCAUUUGUUUGAUAUGAUGAUAAUUUGCUUUUACUCUUAAUUCGUUGAUGUCUUGAGAAUGCUAUGAUUGUACCAAUUUAUGAAUGGCCAUUAUACAAGGGAAUUUAGAUUUGCGGAAUUGUAAUAGUUGGUGAUUAAACGGGUAUUUAAACGGAUUCGGCUAGUACGCGGGGUAUUUCUAAACGGAUUUGGGACGGGUUUGGGUAUUAUUGGUUUGUUUCUUAACGGAUUCGGGUGCUUACAUUAUUAACGGAUUCGAAUUCGGAUAGUUUAUUUUUUGCGGGUACCCGCCCCGCUGCCAACCAAGUUGACACUGACGCAACCUUUGAACCGCCUUUAAGAGUCCAUUAAUCUUGCGUCUGCUUCGCUGCGCACGCCUUAAACUGUAUUUUCGUUGCUCGCAUACAGUCAUUAACCACCACGAUUCUGUCAGUCACCAGCUCGACUAUUAACACCGGAGGUGGCAUUCGCUUUUUCAGCAUAACUUAGUCGAUCCCAAUUUUUUGUCUGCGUAAGUGUUAAUUGAUCUUUCUUUGUGUGUUACGGUUUUAGGGUUUUGUUUAAAGCUUCCUCUAUUAAUUCAUUUUGGGUUAUUUUUGUUGUUUCUUGAAUUUUCUAUCACAUAAAGAGUUCAAAUUCUCUCUCUCUCUCUCUCUCUCUCAUGCAAUUUCAAGAUUUUGGCAUGAGAUGCUUUCAAGAUUAUUUUUUUCAUUUGGAGUCUUGUUUCUAGGAAUUCUGUUGAUUUUCCAUAUAUUUUGAUGAAACUGAGCAAGAUAUGCUGUAGGUUUCUAUUGUUCAUUUAUGCUUUAGCUUGCUUGUCUAGGGAACUUUCUUUUUUCGUUUUUGUGUGCAUUUAUAUUUCUAAGGAUUAGCUGGCUCUGAAGUCAAGUGUAGCUGCCCUUUCCUCAUCUAUGGACGGAGAUGGGUAGAUUGAGCUUGUGCUAUCAAGCCGACAAUUAACUGCUCUUUAGUUAUUUUGUUUAUCAUGGCAUCCAUUUUUUGUCAUUGAAGAAAGGAAAAUGUUAACCGUGCAACUUUAUGAGUCAAAUGAUUUUAUGUUCUUUCAGUGAACAAAUCAUGAGAAGAGAACAUUUUGAAGUUUGAAUUUUAUGUUCCUUGCUAUAAAGAUGACUACAUUUAAUUCAGUUUAUUGGAUACUCCCUUUGUCACAAAAUAUAUGUUGUUUAAGGUUAUUGCAGAAAGAUUGAGGAAGCAAUUAGUUCUCCUAUAUUAUAACAAAUUCAAGGGUAAUUUGCCCAAAUUAUCCUUUAUCUCAAAACCAAUAGUUACUUUUGAAAGUAUUUAUUGUAACUAAUCUAAACAAGGCUAACAUCGGAAAAACAUCAUUUAUUAUUUUUUUAAAAAUACUCAAAACGACUUAUAUUUUGGGACAACAUAAUCACUCAAAAAUGACUUAUAUUUUGGAGUAAAGGGAGUAAUUGAAAUAAAGGUGAACUCAUCUAGACUAAUGCUUAGUUUCAAAAUAGUUUGAAUCAGCUAUGUGAAUGGUUUUUUCCCCAUUUUUCUUGGACUGCAUCCUACAAGUUAUACUAUGUCUCCAAUUUCAGGGGCAAAACUAGGUUAUAGGGUGGGGUGGCUGUGGUCCCACUAAGAUUUUUUCUAAUUAUAGUUUUAUAUUUUAAUAACCCCCCCCCCCCCCCAAAAAAAAAAAAAAAAAAAAAAAAAAAAAAUCCUCCCCGAUAAAACAUGUUUUAUUUUAGUUUAAGUUACUACAUUAUCUUGGUUAGCUUUCUUCAUAUUGUCUGACCUCUGUCUUAAAAAUUAAAGAUUAGCUUCCCAUUGUGCAGAAAUUAAUGAUCCCUCCAAGUUUUGUUUUGGUUUUCAGUUGCAUUUUCCUAUCUUCCAAUUGAUUUUCACUUGUAUCCUUUCCACCAUCCCACACACGGCCACCCCCCCCCAAAAGAAAAAAAAAAAAAAAAAAAAAAGAUGUGAAGUUCUAGUUAUUACCUUGUUUAGUUGCUUUGCCAUGGAAAUCUCAAUAACUAAACUUUUUACUAAGAGAUUAUUUUGUUGCAGAUGAAUGUAUAAUAAUCUUGGAGCAAAUUAAUAUGGGGCCUGAUUUGGAGAAAUCAAAAGCUUUGGCUAGUAAAGACAAUGGAGGCGUAUCCCAAGUUCAAGAAGAUAAGUUUGCGAAAUGUAUAAGUAAUUAUGAGGACAAUAAUUUCCAUGAGGAAGCUUUAAAUUAUGACCAAGCUAAACUAAGCGAGGAUAUGGAUAUUAAUAUAAUUGAGUGUACAAAAUCUGGUGACAAUGGACAAAUUGAAGCUCGAUGUGAGGAUGCAACUGAGAGUAUGAGUUCUUUUGGUGACACAUUAUCUGAGACUGAGAAUCUUGCAGUGUUAGGUGAUGCUGAAGUUGAAUCACAGUGCUGUCUCUGUGAUGCAGCAGCAUCGGUAUUUGAUGGAGGAGCAUUUCAAAUGAGGUACUUACUGUUUGAUUCAAUUGGUUCAUUACAUUUUAAUGCUCAUGUGUAGGUAACUUUCUGAUGAAAGAUAAAGAUAUGUGAUAUCAUGGCCCUCUAUUUUGGUGUAUAGUAUUGUGAGUCAUUGUCAACUAACUUUUCUUGGUGAAAUGACUUGUUUGUUGUGUAGCUGGAGGAAGUAUAGUCAUCCAUAAUUAAAAGAAAGUUUUACUACCUUCUUUUGUAGAAAUAUUAACGAUGAUCUUUUUGAUGAUGAAUUUGGGAUGUAUUUGAGCAUAUUUAAGUUGGGGUUUCUCUUCAAAUUUUUCUCUAUUCUCCACAGUAAUAUUAGCGCAUCAUUGUUUUUACUUUGUUUUGGAUUAUAAGCUGCAUCAUUGGUAAGUGAGAUCAAGGGUGGAGAGGGAGCAUCUCGGUUUUGCCUAUAGUAACUUAUCUUUAAAUGUUAACUCAGUUUAUCCUUAAUACAUGAUGCUCAGUUCAGUUGUGAGUAUAAUAUGGGCAAAUUAUCUUAAGAAUCAUUAAAUCCAAUAACUAAAUUAAUGUGAUUACAUGGAUUGCCUCCACCUCUUGUUAAAGAAGCACAAGAAUUGAAAAGAUUAACUAGCCAUUGUAAGUGUUCUGGAACAUUUGUCUUUGACUAAGGUUUUUAGUUUGAAACCUGCAUGGCGGAGGAUUUUAACCAUCACUGACAUUCAGAAAAGGGAACAAAACCAUGGAACAAUGAGACUAAACGAAAACGCUGUCAAAUCCACUCGUUGCCUUUUACUAAAACACUUUGGGUUACGCAAUUAUGGAGGUUGGCUUGCUGCUAAAGUCCCAACUUGUGAUUGGUCACAGGUCUCUUGAUAGUUGACUUCCUUCCCUUGUGGGCUAUUUUGAAUUAACCAUAAAAUUUGCUCGUGACAACGAGCUUAUUGGAGAGAACUUCUGAUCUCCUAAAACCAAACUUUUAAGUUUAAUCUUUGCGCCUUUUGUUCACGCCCAUGUUCUUUAAAUAUCAUGGCAGUGGACAGAACCAACUAUAAACUAGUAAACUAGAAAACUGAAAAUAACAACCUAUAAGGAAGCUAGAAAUAACUGCCAAUUAUGUAGAAAAACUACACUACAGCCACAAACUGAUUUAGCUACUUAAUCCAAGCUUUCAGCUGCUGCUGCUAAGUUUUCAUUACCAUGGGUAUAAUGCCUAUAAACAUAUCCAAACAAGAUAAUUUUAAUACUCCUUGAACCAGUGUCCUCAGUUUGCUGUGUUGAUUCCAGGUUCUUAACACUUCCUCUGUUCUCCGUCAUGAGAAUUUCUUUGGUAGUUGCUCCAAGUUUGUUGGCAUGGAAGGUUAUACACUACUAUUUUCGCAAGAAUUCAGUAGUUUCAAUCCCUCUUUUUUGAAGGGAUUUAAUAGGAGAGCCUUUAGGCGCGGAUCUUUCUCUAUGCUUAAAGACAUCUUGAUUAGUACCUUUUACUUCAGUGUGCAGUACUAUAGAUAGGCAAACUGCUCUUGACUUCUUAAUCAUGUAACUUAAUAUUGACUUUAUUUUUGUUAUUGGGGUAUGCUUCCUCUUGGACCCAUCAAUGCUAUUUACCACAAUCUUUUGUGUUUCAAACAUGUGUGCUGCACCUAGACUAAGUUAUUGGUUAAUCUUUGAGUAGCGCUGUUACACCAUCAGGGAUGAUUUUUGUACAAUGAUCUAGGUCUUAGAUUCCUUGUGGAGUGAUGGAAAAUUGCCCUGCGCAUAAAGGCAGCAUUGACCUUUCCUUGGAAAGUCUUAAUGGGAUUGCACAUGUAGCUCUAUUACAGAUAAGCUGAAAGAUCUAUGUCCACCUUGUUGUCGGGCAAUCCUUUAGGGGGAUUGCCGCUAAAAAUUCUCUCAUGUCUUAACACCACUUCUGUUUCUAAUUUUCAAUAUACUGAAGGAGAAUUGAUUAUGAUAAUAAAAUAUCCAAUGAUUCCAUCUCAGAAAAAGUGUAAAUACCAAUUUGAUCCUUUAAGUGGACUGAUGUGGUUCUCUCUUUCUGGUAGAGAAAGCAUUAAUUGUGCUCCUCUCUAUUGACUUCCUCCUUAUUUUACAUGUUUGAAUUUCCAUGGUUAUACAAAGGAAAAUUAGCUUUUGGAGUCAAUUUCUAAUUUUAUCAUUUCAUUGAAUAUUCAUGCUUUGUUCAACUAUGGAAUAUUCAGUCCCUUGUUUAAUUUAUUUUCUCCAAUUGUUCAGGAGGAAAAAGUUGACAGACCAUUGGAGGAGAUUUAUACGUCCUCUUAUGUGGCGAUGCAAGUGGAUAGAAUUGCAAAUUAAAGAAUUUCAGUCCCAGGCGCUUAAGUAUGACAGAGAACUUGCAGAACAUGAACAGAGAAAGCAGUUUGAUUAUGGUACGUUUUUAAUAGAAGGAAUUGAUGCAAAGUCAACACCAUUUUCAAGUUGUACUAAAAGGAACAAAGUCAUGAAAAGAAAGAAAAGAAAAAGAAUUGAGGAGGCAACUGACAUAUCAUCAUAUAUGCUACAACAUAACCUCUUUUCCUAUUAUGGUAAGCAUUCCGAUUUGCCUAUUACCUGUAGCAUUUGCAUCCCGAUGACAAGCAUUUUCCUAGGAGAGUAAUGUCUUUUCAUAUUCCCUUUUCUUAUUCUUUUCCCCUUUUCUUUCUUGACCAGAAACUAGGAAGUCUUCUGCCAAUGGUGCUUCUAUGAAUGACAAUUGCAGCAAUAAUCCAGGUAAGGAGUUAAAAUUUGUUUUGACUUCGUUUUUUAACUGAAAUUUUUAAAUGAUAAAACUGAGUAAUCUAGAAAUGCCUUAUAUACUGUGUUUAGCAUCUGUUCAUGGAUUUGAUGCUUCCAUAUGCUAGUCUUUGAUACAUUUCCUUUUGAGCCUCAACUUGAUUGAAGUAGUUAGUCUAAUAAAGGACUAGAGACAAUCACACGUUAGCAAAUGUGUGCAUGUAUUCUAACAUGUUUCUAUAUGAUGACAACAACAUAUAGCUCUGUGUGAUAGAGAGCGCACUUCUGAUUACUUGAUUGUGAGACGACGUGCAUCAAAAUUUACCUUGUUUUCUUGAUGUUGAUUGUAGAAUUUAUUGUUUUGUCUUCCCUUUUAAACAACUUCUUCCAGUUUCUCUUUCAAGUUUCUACAUAUUUGUACUUCUGAUGUUUUUUGUUUCCUGCAAUGGUAAAGUAUACCUCAUUAUUAUUCAAAUCGAGACUAAGUAGAAGAUUAUAAGCAAAAUUGAUAUUAUGCUGUCAGAAUUUAGAGUUGGGUUUAUUGGCAUAAAGAUCUUAAAUAUUAUUCCAAAAAAGAUGGUGCCAUGAAAAAUAGAAUUGAUAUAAUGAUUGGUCAAGUGCUUACAUUCAUCUUGAACUUUCUUAUUUCAAUCUUGUGGGACCUCAAGUUUGAUAAAGAUCUAUUAUACACUUGAACUUAUGAAUUUUGGACUUUGCACACCUUCCUGCACAAAUAAUAACAUCUUUUAGAGUUUUUGGCUUUUAUGUGCAAAACAUGAUUUGAUGUAUGAUGAGCACUACUUCUGAACAAUAAUUUUUUCAUUUUUCAACGAUCUAAUAAGUAUUUAACUAAUCUAAUUUUCUAAGUUGACGUGUUCAAUAAAAUGAUGUUGCGAACUAAAGUGUUUAACAAAUGUAAUUUCAUAAGUUGAAGUAUUCGAUGGUUCCAAGAAAAAAUUGAGAGUUCUAUAAGGUUAAAACAAUAAAGUGCAGAGGUAAAUUUAUGUAUUCAGCCUAUAAUGAAUGGAUGUUAUCUAGAUCAGAAACUGCAUGCUGCACACACAUCGGGAAACUUUUUUUUUUUUUUUUAAAUUAUAUAUUCUCUAUUGACUAUUAUUGCUAAAAUUCAGUUUAUCAUGUGCCUAACUUUUCUUAUCUGGGUCUUUUUCAGAUAAGGCAAUCAAUGUUAAUGAUGAGUUUGGCUUUCAAGAUGGAUGGGCAUCUCUUGAGACCAAAGGAAUUGAUAAUAUCUGUGAAAAUAUUCUUUUGAAAAUUGAAGCAUUACAAUUGCUAGUUCGCAAGUUGAAGGUCCGGAUUGAGAAGGUGGUGAGUGAAAAUCCUGGGAAGUUUGCUUCUGUUAAUAGGCUGAUCAUGCCUGUAUCUUGUGAUGCAUUGACCAGUUCUGAUCAAAAUCCUGCUUCCCCUCUUGAAAAUGAUGAUAGAAUGCCUGUUAGAUCUCUAUACACCAUCUCACAGUUUCUCCCUGAAAGUGCUGUUUCAAGUCACGGAGAGGUCACCACUCAUCCUGAUAUGAUUGAAAGCACAGAUCAGCCUGUGGUUGGGGUUUCAUGUGAAGAUGUAAGUUUCAUCUCUCUCUCUCUCUAUCCCCAACCCCCCCCCCCCCCCUUUCAAAAAAAAAAAAAAAAAAAAACCAAUCCAUUCUGCCGUCCUUUCGUGCUAGAUAAACAGUGUUGUUAAGUGUAUACUGGGCAAUGCUUCUUUCAUUCCCUGGCAUAUUUUUGGUGUAUACAGCACUUACAACGGGAGGUGCUGAAGGCUUAAAAUACUCGCCUUUACUUGUCUAUUUCUGUUAAGGAUUAGUUGUAAAUAGAGUUCUAUUAGGAGUUAGAUUCCUAAUUAGUUUAUGAUUUGUAUUCCUAAAUAGCUAGCGUAGGAAUUCCUUAUAUAUAGACCUAUGUAAUCGAUUGAUGAGAUACAAGAAAUACAAUUACAAUAUAUUCUCUCAACAUGGUAUUAGAGCCUUCCAUUAAAAAAAAAAAAAAAAAAAUCCCCAAAACCCCCUUAUNNNNNNNNNNNNNNNNNNNNNNNNNNNNNNNNNNNNNNNNNNNNNNNNNNNNNNNNNNNNNNNNNNNNNNNNNNNNNNNNNNNNNNNNNNNNNNNNNNNNNNNNNNNNNNNNNNNNNNNNNNNNNNNNNNNNNNNNNNNNNNNNNNNNNNNNNNNNNNNNNNNNNNNNNNNNNNNNNNNNNNNNNNNNNNNNNNNNNNNNNNNNNNNNNNNNNNNNNNNNNNNNNNNNNNNNNNNNNNNNNNNNNNNNNNNNNNNNNNNNNNNNNNNNNNNNNNNNNNNNNNNNNNNNNNNNNNNNNNNNNNNNNNNNNNNNNNNNNNNNNNNNNNNNNNNNNNNNNNNNNNNNNNNNNNNNNNNNNNNNNNNNNNNNNNNNNNNNNNNNNNNNNNNNNNNNNNNNNNNNNNNNNNNNNNNNNNNNNNNNNNNNNNNNNNNNNNNNNNNNNNNNNNNNNNNNNNNNNNNNNNNNNNNNNNNNNNNNNNNNNNNNNNNNNNNNNNNNNNNNNNNNNNNNNNNNNNNNNNNNNNNNNNNNNNNNNNNNNNNNNNNNNNNNNNNNNNNNNNNNNNNNNNNNNNNNNNNNNNNNNNNNNNNNNNNNNNNNNNNNNNNNNNNNNNNNNNNNNNNNNNNNNNNNNNNNNNNNNNNNNNNNNNNNNNNNNNNNNNNNNNNNNNNNNNNNNNNUUGUCCUAAUUCUGCUGCUACUAUUUGGUUUGGGAUUCUAUAUUGCUAUAAUGAAGUGGGUACAGUUGCUGAGUAUGGUAUUGUGCUUUGCUGAAAGUAAUAGUUUGUAACAAGUUGAGCAUGAUUAUCAUCUAUGCUCCAACUUGAGGGGGAGUGUUAAGGAUUAGUUGUAAAUAGAGUUCUAUUAGGAGUUAGAUUCCUAAUUAGUUUAUGAUUUGUAUUCCUAAAUAGCUAGGUAACAUAGGAAUUCCUUAUAUAUAGACCUAUGUAAUCGAUUGAUGAGAUACAAGAAAUACAAUUACAAUAUAUUCUCUCAACAAGUUCAUUUGUUAUCAUUUGUCUCAGUCUGAUCAUGGUUCUAAAUGCUUCUUGAUAACAUCUCUUAGCCAGCUACAUGGAUUCUCUUCAAGUCAGUACAAUGUACCUUUUCGUUGUCUCACUAUUUGUACUGCUUUAUACUGGCAGCUUUGGCAAAAAUUUUCAACUCCAUGUAUUGUUGGGCUUGCUUUAUGUAAUGCAAAUAAAGGGUUGAUGGAGAGGUCUUGCUUGGGUAAGAAUAAUUGAAUGUGAGAGCUCUAAGACGUCCCAGGUUUGAUAUAUGAGAGAGUAAUAAUUACUGUCGAGUUGAGCUAUAGUUGGUAUACUAUUAGGAGCAAUCUUGUACAAUGGGUGCAUCAAAAAGCUUAAGCUAUGCUUAGCUGAUGCUUGUUAUUUAGGUGACUGUUUUGGCAACAAUUGGCCUCAAUUAAUAUCAUGUAGUGAUAGUGCCCCAUCCCAAAUAUACAUGUUAGCUAAUACUAGAAAUUGCUAUUUGUAAUAGAAACUCUGUGCUGAUAUAUGGGAAUGAGCCAGUGCUAUAUAUCUCAGUUGUCUAGAAAAACCAGAACAUUUAUUAUUGUGGUAUUGAGAACUUGGUGCUGACUUGCUUCCAGUUUGUGUGAUCAUAUAUCGUUCUUGUCCUUGUCCUUGUCCUGUCAGCUAGUGAGUUGAAAAUUUUCACAUUCGUACUGUGCCAACUCCAUAAAAAUUUUCUAUCAAGAUAUUUUCUUGGUUCAUAAGAUUUCAGUGGUAUGAUUGUUGCCGCUACUCAUAUUGGCAAUUAUAGCUUUGGUCGUGGGAGUCACAGAUUAUAUUCAUUUUCACGGGACAAUUUCUGUGUAGAAUUUGGAAUUGAUUAAUGUUUUGAUGUUUUGUGGACCAGCAUGUUUUUCUUCUUUUUAAAUUGUAUUGCCACCCAUCUAUUACGAGAGUUAUUUAUAACUGAUGUGUCCUUCAUUUCUGCAGACUAAAGAAGGAAUUCUAAUAAAUAAUCAGGCAGCAAAGGAAGAGAUGCAAGACUUGAAUAUGUUCAGAAACGAGGUCACAGAGAAGCAUCAGGUAGAGACAGAAGAGCAGACAUCAUGCGUUCCUGAAGCUACUAACAUAUCCACAGGUACAACUGUGCCUCGUGUAAAUUUUGGUGGAAAAACACUUCCAAAAUCCAGGAGCAAUCUUUCCAAUGACAAGAAGAAGACGGGGAGGAGAAAAUCUGGCAGAGGUGGCCGGAACCGUAAAUCCUGAGCUUAGCUGGAUAAGUGAUUUAGAUGUCUCGAGUACAUAAAAGACUGAAACUUCUUCAAAAGUUGUUGGAAGUAACACUUUUGCAAGAUGAUAAUUGUAAAUGCUGAUGCAUUUUCUGAUGUGUAUCUUCCCGCUGCCCAUCUGCUGCUUACAUAUUUGUACAUGCUCCAUAUUCAUUAGGUCUCUUAUCUAUGCUGUAGAGCAUUGGAUGCUUUGUUUAGAGAUGUGCUAUUAUUUUAAUACAAUUAUAAUUUUGUUUGUGGAAAUAUUUUUUAGAUUAGUGAGAAUUUGCAGAAUGUGUACACUGGAGAAGCACAGUUGUUAGGUCCCUCCUUGAAGCUAACAGCUCGAUCCGAGCCAGGAAUUGAAUUGGAUAGUGAAAACUGCUAGAUUCAUAUGAUAUCAUGGAUUUCUUUCUUACAUUGACCAUAUGCGUUUCGUCUCUCUCCUUUCUCCUUUGUGUAGCAUAAUGACUCGUCUCUUUUACUGUUCAAAUCUGCAAAAUGGGGAUGUUUUUUGAGUCUCAUGGGAGAAGUUAUGUGAUUGUAUAUUUGUCACAGGACUUAAUAUUUUCCCUUAUCUCUUCAAUUUGACACUACAGGAAUGCUUGUUAAUAUUUCAAUGUUUGACUGUUUUAGGUUUUCCUUCAACGCAUUCCACAAGUUUUUGUGAUAAUAACACUGUACAAGCAAUUCUUAGAUAAAGAUUCGCUUAUUAGUCUGAUGGAUUGGAUUGAUAUGUUUGAUACUGCAAAAAGAAAAAGUCAAAUAAAUCAAAUAUACAAAUUAAGAAGUUUUUAUAACAUUCGCCAAACACAAGUAGCAAUGAUGUCCUGUGUCCGUAUCAGAAUGCAGAUGCAAUCCCAGAUUCCUGAAGAGGUUGAGCAAGAAGUCUGUUCAGGAGCGCAAACACUCCUAGGAAAUGCGAAAAUAGUGAAAUAUGUUUGCUGUGAGAGAUCUAUCGAUCCAGUCAAAAGAAGUAAACUUUCCAUCUUAUGUUAAGGACUUCUUUUCAUUUUUCCCAUUUUUAGCAUCUAAAAUUAACCAUUUCCAACCCUUCAAUUGAGGUGGAGAAUCUUUAUACCAACCGAUAAAAGAUCAAGUACAGGAACAAGGUGGAUUAGCGGUCAGUCGCCAAGCCAGUUCAAGAAAGCCAAGUAAAAAAAAAAAUAUUUCCAGGUCUAUCUCAGCUCGUUCAUCAUCAUCCAUGAUCGAUUUCAAGAGCAAACCAUCUUCAGAACACCGUCUUCAUUUCUGGUGUUUCUGUUCAUGCCUCGUAGACUUGGUCUUUAACACUAAUUUCUCUCUGUAGGGUACGGUUGAAGAAAUGCUUCAUCUUUUUGCGGAUUUCGAAUCUGAACUUACUCAUCUACUCUAGAAAUUCAAGCUGCAUUGCAAAAUGUGACUGAUGCCCUUUAAACUGGACCAUUUUCCAAGAUCCUGAACAGAACAAGAAACUCAAGAGAGCCUUGCACCUCGUUUCCACUUACAGGUCUGAAGACGGUUUAGCCACUGGUCAAAUGGCUGCUAUUUCUAACUUUAGGCAGGAGAUUGAUAAACUUGUAGCAAAGUUCAGAAAUUGCAAUGAGGAAACAGUCUGAGAAAGACUUUCAGGAAACAUAUCUCUUGCUUAAGGAGCUGAAAGUAUGUUAGACCAAAUUAGUGGAUUUUAACCUCACAUACUUCUUAAUUUAGAACCUGUAUGAUAAGUAAAUAAGUUUUGUGGAACUAAAUCGAUGGUGUUCGGUCAUGGUAUCCAUAGCGUUGCUUCUUUUUCGGCGCAGACCCGACGCGACUGACAGAUAAGCCGACGUUAAUAGCAGGUCUAAUUCCCCCCCUUUUUUCGUCUAAGUAAGGUGAAUUGGCUUCCUGCUUGACCCGAACCGAAGCAAGUCCUUCUUUCAUUUCUUCGGUGAUUGGCUCUCGUAGCGCUUAGUGUAGUAAGGGCCACUGGCUGUUCUUUCUACGUAAACUUGCUUUUUGGCUUCUUUCAUCAAAGAUAGGUAUGAGCUAAAGGCUUUUUUUUCUCACUAAACCCAUUUCUGAUCUUCUAUUGAAACUUUAUAUUUUCAUUUUCAUUUUCUUUUUAGGAAUUCAAUUCAUGUAUGUUAACUAAAUAAAAUUCUGCCAUUAAUGAAUUCUGUAUUUCAAAUGUCAAAUUCACAUCAUAACAAAAAAAAAAAAGAAAAGAAAAAGGGGACACAGAAAAUAGAAUGGAAAAUAAGAUGAGAUUUCAUUUCCACUCCCUCUUUAUUUUAAUUAUUAACCUUCUAAUUUUUGUUUCAAAAGGAAUCCAAGGCAAGGCAGCAAGCUUAAAGGACUUUAGCUCCAAUGUGAAGCUAACAAGUUGUUCCAAGGUAGGAAUAUCCUUUCAUUUCGAAAAUUGUUAGAUUGAAUAUAAAUCAAGGAUUCCUUUCUUUCAUCUAAGAAAAAACAAAAUCCACUCUCUAUUUCUUUGCAUAUUUCUCCAAUUUUACCCUUCCAUUAUAUAUGUAACCAUUUUGCGAUUCAAUCUACUUGAAUUUUUCAAAUUUACAAAAUGGGGAUGUCCAUGAGUUUCAUGGGAAAAGGUUUUGUGAUCUUCUUGCAAAUUUUUCAUUUUCACAUAGUAAUCUUUUUUGUUUUCCCUUGCAUAUUAAUGGUUUUCUUAAUUCUUGCAUUUGAUUAAAAUUAUUACAUAACAAAUACAAUAAAGAAUUUUUUUUUUUUUUUUUUUUUUUUUUGUAGGGUUGCCUUCAAACCAGAUGGUAGGUUUUGUUAUGGGGACUCUCUACAAGCAAUUUGUGGACCAAGAUAUUAAGAACGUUGAGGAAUUCCACAUGGCUAUUCUUGAUAUCUUCAAGUAAGAUUAUAAAGAAAUUAUUAUUAUUAUUAUUAUUCUUGAUAUCUUCAAAUGAGAGGGUCGGAAUCAAGCCUGGACCUAUAUCAUCACCGUUAAGGUUCCUUACCACCAAAAUCAACAUGAGUUACAAAAAUUAUCUUUUUUUAGGUUGUGAUUAGACCUAAUAAAUAUACAUUAAUUUUUUCAUUCUUGAAAUUUUAUUGCUGUUUAAUUGUUUACAGCGCAUUCAACUCAGCAUUGCCUGGUAAACAUUAUGAUGCACCCUCAAGAAAAGAGAUAGAGGCCAGUGACAUUAACCUUACAAUAUUCUAAUUAAUUAAAUCCCAUUAUCUCAAAUAAAUUUAUAUAAUUAUGUACAAAAAAAUGUUCAAUAUUGCAGGCAUGUUUUAGUUUUUGGAAACAUGCUUCAGAUGCACAAAGAAAAGAACUCUUCAUUGAAUUGAUGAAGAAGAGCGUAAAACUUAGCAAGAUAGAUGACUCCGCCUUGGUCACCGGAGUAGUAACACCACCGGCAGCAAUGGCUGCCAAGAAAGCGGCGGAGAAUUUGCCUCAGUUAAAGAUAUUAAAGGCUGUGCCAGAUGUUGUCUUUGUGCCUGCAGCAACAGUAUUAGCUCUUAUCUCUGCUAAGCUUACAAAAAGGACGUUCUUUGGAAGUUCAGCGUCUCCUUAAUUCUAAAAUAAAUUGUAGUAUGAAUUAUCUUGUAAUAACUAAAUAAAAUAUUAAAAUUUCAAGCUCUUUAUAAUUGCAUUUAAUGUUUUUAAUUUUAUCAAUUAAACGUAUAAUUUUUUUUAUCAUUAAUUUUGCCUCAUUCAUUUUACACAUUGAAAGAUCGAUUUUUGAAGAGAACACAAGAAGAUAUGAGAUAGUACACACCCAUUAUAAAAAUAGACUUUUUUUUUUUUUUUGGUAACGAUUGGAGAGCAAAACUCUAAGUAAACAUUGAAAGUCCAGUAUAAAAAACCUCUUGAAGAAGCCAUUCUGCCAUCCCAGGAGGCGGUUCAUGAGAAGUUGACUCCCUGAUGGAUAAUUUCUUGCGCAUCUAGAAAAGUAAUCCGCGCAAUUGUUCAUUUCUCUGUAAAUAUGUUUGAUCACACAACUUUGAAAUUGUGGGAUCAACUGCUGAAUAGCAAGCACCAGUUUCUGAAUUGCUCUUGAAGAAGAACCAUUGCUUGAAAUGAGUUGGACAGCAGCCAAAUUAUCACAUUCAACUUGGAUAUUUUUCAUCCCUAAACUCUUGGCCAGCUGCAAACCUUCCAGAACUGCCAACAACUGAGCAUUGAAAACCGUACAAGAACCUAUGUUAGAAACAAAGCCUCUGAACCACCUCCCAGCAAUAUCUCGAAUUAAACCUCCACCACAUGCUGAUUGUCCAGUAACAGAAGUGUUAGUAUUGAGAUUGACGCAGUUGCUAGGGGGAGGAGACUAUGUGAGUGAAAUUAAUUCUUUAUUGCACGAAGGAAUCUCGACUUUUUCACGUACAAACUAGUUUCGAAAAUAUUCUUAGCCAAGCAGAACGCCUCCAUUUUCAACCUCUGUAUCGUCACAUGUUCUUCACGAAAGUACCAUCUAUUGCGUGGAUCCCAGAUUUUCCAGCAGCACACUCCGAAAAUAAUAGGUCAAGGGACACUAGAAUGAUGCGUACAGUUGCCGGAAAGAUUAUACAAGAGCCAAUUUUAAUGCAAUAUGUUAACUCAUAUUUCUCACACACGCAUAAACUCCACGUGUGAUUUGGGAUAUGGAAUACCCAACGUUUCUUAAAAUCGAAUUAAAUUAAAUAAAUAAUUAAAUAAAUAAUAUACAUUACCAAAUAUAUCUUAAUUCUACAGCUGAUACAUAAAUACAUUACAGCUUUAAUUUUAUGGCAUUUUAAAUUUUGAUGAGGACCAUUUAUGCUCUUAUUUCUUAUAAAUUUUUGCAAAUCACAUACUUUUCCAUAUCAUCGACAAUUAUCUAUAGGGAUAUUAUUUGAAAUAUUAAUUUGAUUUAUGAUUAGGAUAACUUUAGAAAUAAUGAUUUUUACAUCUUUUAAUUAUAUUUAAUAGAUGUCCGAUCAAUUUAAAUUUAAGUGUUAGUACAUUCAAUAGAAUGAUUUGCAAAUUUUUUAAUCUUGUUGAAGUUUUUAAUAAAUCAAAAUAAAGCUAAAGGUUCCUUUAGACACUUAAAAAAAAAAAAAAAAAAAAAAGUUAAAGCGUCAAUUUAUGCGUUUGGCCUAAUUCUGCAGGUUACUGUUUUUUUACUUUAUUUUAUUAUUAUUAUUAUUAUUUUUUUUUUUUUUUUUUUUUUUUUUUGAAAUGAGAUUUGUGCUUAAAAGGUGCAUAUUUUUUUCAUAUGGUUCAUUAUGAUUAAGUAGAAUAUGCAGGUAUGGUAGUGGCUAAAAGGUAGGUUUUGCGAUUUCAUUUUGCCUCCAUCUCUAUUUCACGUGAAACCAACAAUCUGUGCUAUGUACAGAUUUUCUUUUCUUUUCUUUGCUUUACUCUAUGUCAAGAAAUAUAAUAUAUAGUAUCAACUUUUUUUUUUUUUUUUUUUUAAAAAAUGAAGAUUUUUUAAGAAAUGAAGUAGCAUACAUACAAUUAGAAAUAGGUCAUUCCGCUAUGCAUAUGUCAAUAGUAUAUAUAAGAUAUGUCGGGUAAAAUUAACUGUUUUGUUAGCUGUUAGUUUUUUAAAUAAUGUUGUUUAAAUAAUUUUUCAUAAAACGUUAUAUAAAUUAACUUUUCAUAAAACACUAUCUUAACUUCUAAAAUCUAGUUCAAAGGCUAUAGUACCGAACACUAUAAAAAAUAUUAUUCAAAAUGCUAAAAACUACUUAAAAAGCGGUUGCCCGAACACAGUCAUAGUCUCUUUUAUUAAAUAUUAUUAGUAGCUAUUUUAAUUAGAAAAUACAAGGAAUAAAGAAAAACUCAACUUUAUAUAAACUGAUUAUCAAAACAAAAGAUAGAAUAAAAUGGCAGAUUGAUAUUUACAUAUAUGUUCAACUCAAUUAGUUCCUUAAUUAUGAAUUAAUUGGUAAAUUUUCUUCUUUUCUUUUUUUUUUCAUUUCAUAUUUAUAUGUGUGUUGUAGAUUUAAAUCUUCAAAAAAGAUUUAAAAUUUACAGUUAAACAAUUUUUUGCUAAUUUAAUUCAUUCCCAUGUUCUUUUUUCAUACAAGUUUGAUAUCCUCAACUUUUCCAUGCAUCUCCAAACAAUUCUUACACAAUUUUACUAAACAUGAUAACAAAUACUCUUCAAAUGGAGAGGAAGUCUUUAUCUGCGUAUAAUCAAGAACUAGAAAAGGUAAAACUGAAAUUUAAUAUUAAAAUUCAAAAAGUAGUAACAUAAUUUAGGAGUAGAACAAAAAAUUCAUUUAUUCCAAAAGCAAACGAGAAUUUGUUCAUAUUCAUAAAUGUUUCAAGAAAUAUUAAUCAGUUCAAGGGCACUUGGAUUGACCCUUGGAGUUCUUCUUGUCUCUAUAGCAAGGGCAUUCUGAUUUGUUUCCAUAGGUUCCUGAAGGUACACAUUUGCACUCUUGGCAGCAGAUUCCACAAUACUUCAAGCACCUAUCCUUAUAUCCUGCAUUGCUACACCUUGUCCCACACUUCAAAUCACAAUCACCUAAUAUCACCAAAACAGAAAUAUAAGUACUUAUUUAUUAUUCCAAAAUGGAAAAACCCCAGAAAAAAAAAAUUGAUAUUUGCUUGGCUUAAUUUAAUAAUCUUACUUGGAGCAGCUGUGGUAGGUGGUGGUGCAGCCAUAUAUGGUGGAGCUGAAGCCAUGGCUGUUUGAAGUAAAGAGGAGCAAAGAGCCAGUGAAAGAAUCAGGAAUGAUGCAAGCAAGAGCUUCAUUUUAGUUAUUUUGAUUGAUAUUUUACACUUCAAGAAAUAGUACUAACUAAGGCGAUGAGAAUUAGCUUAGGAAGCUAUGGGCUUGAAAGAAUUCAGAGGAGUAUUUAUAGUGGUGGAUUGAAGGUGGAAGUCAUGUGGAAAUUUGAAGCAAAAGGGUAUUUUAUUAAUAAAAUUAAAAGGCCAAUGAACAAUUUCAUUACAGUCUGUAAUUUAAGGAGGCACUUAUUGGGGAGGGCAUUAUAGAUUUUUGUCUUGAUUAGCUUAUUAUAUUUCUACUCAGGUUUAUGCUAUACAUAGGGAAGUUUGCAAGUACCUUCCUGAGGAAGGAGAUAAUCCUUUUUUAAGGUUAAUUAAUUAGGUUUUGACUAACACUUGUGAAGUUCUGAUGAUUUAUAAAAUUUUAGUACCAACAAUUUGAAAGGGUACAAGCUGUACUGGCUUCUCCGAUGUAGCCCAUUUGCAUAUGUUUAUUGAUCUUUUUUUGCUCUUCCUUUCUGGCUCGCCAGAAUCUCUAUGUAACUUGAAAAAUAAUUUCCAACUUCAAGUUAAAAGGGAACAAAGAAAUGAAAACUGAUAUAGACAGGGAUAGAGAAUCUCAAUUAGUUUGGCGCACAAUUCCAGGCUGUGGCUUCCCCCAACUUGCACUUAUUUAAAUUAUUUCCUUUUUAUAUGUGUGGGAACUAGAGGAGGAAGAGAAUAGACAGGCCCCCGAAGGUUCCAGGAAAUUGGACUCAACCUCCUGAGAUUCCUCUUUAAAUAUUUUGAUGUUCAAAAAAAAAAAAAAAAAAAAAAAAAAAAAAAAAAAAAAAAAAAAAAAAAAUUUUUUUUUUUUUCCCCCGCCGCACAAAGAAAAUAUUUUGUUGCGAAUGAACAAGAUAUUGAGGAAUUGUCCAUAAUUUUACUGUCACCUGAGGAAAAUAAACUUAGAAGCUUAUGAAAAUAAAUUAUAUAGCUACAAGGCAACAAAAUCUAGAAUUCAAUGGCUAAAUGCACAAGAAGUUUCAUUAAUAACAAUGUGAAUUCUUACAGCAGAAUUUUUUAUAUUCAAGCAUGGAACAAUUUAAAUACAUCGGAUUAGUGAUACUGAAGAUGCAAACCUAUAUACGUUUAAACUGCUGAGAGUUGUGGCCGUGAUAAAACAAUAAGGAAGCACGUCUUUGCGAACAGAAAGAACUCAGGCUUUGACAUGUACUAUAAAUUCUUCCCAAUAACUUGCAAAACAAAACAACAUUAAAAUGUCAAUCCACAUAGACACAUGUAUGCCUAUCUAUAUAUGUAAUAUGAUGAAAAAUAAACAAAAAGAUACCAAUGUCAACCUCCCAAACUAGAGGAAGCACGGAUAUGUUGACCAUAAGAAUGUUCUUUGGCAGAGCGACUGGAAGUGAGUAAAUUGACCUGCAGAAGGCCCUCAACAAUUAGAGUUGACAGAAUGACACAAAGGUAGGUAGCAAAGAAAAAUUGGUCAAGAAAGUUACCUUCACGAUGUCACAUUUGGCGCUUGGUCGCCUGGAGGCAGCUAGGACACUCAUGUGAAAUAGCUGUUUUCAAGAACACAAUGAUAAACAAAGCAAUACACGUGAAAAUUUUAUCUAACAAUUAACUUCUACUGUUGUUUGCGGUACUUGCAAUGGAAACUAGUACAAAACUUAAAGAAAGGAUGAACUGGACAUGAAAGCAAAGCAAUGUGAUUUCUGACUCACAGCAGUUAUUAGUUAAUAAAGAAAAGUUAUAUUUUCUUGGUUUGUUGCAUAGGAAAUUACCCUAUAAGGAUCGCUUCUUAAGGACUGCACAAACAGAGAAUUCCCCGAGUCACUAUCCUGCAAUGGAAUAAACACCAGAACUCUUAAACAUGACAAGUCAUAAACAGCAGAAGUGGAUGCAAAUAAAUGCUCCAAAAGGAUAAAACUGAAAUUAAUCAAUAGUCAUGCCUCCAAAUAAACAUCCUUGAGUCGCCUUCCAGUUUGAGCACAGCAGACGCGGACAACAUUUUCAUCACAGCUACCACUUAUGAUGUAAUCCCUCCCAUUCAUGUAAUAGGAGCGAGUAUAAUUAUGAGAACUUCCAGUUGCAGCUAUCUCAAAGUUCAUGUGAACCCUACCAUCUACUGCCAGAAGUUGUUUGACCUGACACAAGUUAAAAGUGGGAUAUUAUCUUGAACUCAGUGAAAGAAGCCAACAAGUUUGUUAUUACUAUGUUAAGGUGGCAUGCUUACAUCCUAAGAGGUAAACAAGGAAUUCUGCUUGAUGAUUAGUAGGGAACAUCUACAGUUAGAUGCGUUAAUGACAUUGGACUAGUGAAAUUAUGCUCAUCUUAUCAAACCCCUUUAUAAGAUUAGGGAGUCUACAUCCACACAAUGAUUUAGAAUUUUUCUUUAUCUAGUACGUUUUAUCCUUGCCCAACUGAAUAUAUACAUACAUAAUGGAUAUGAAAAUACCUCAUUGUCAACAGCUGAAACAAGCAGAUAUUUGUCAUCAGGAGAAAAGCAAACCAUCACAUUCCCUCUUGAACUUGAGGCUGUAUAACAAGGCCUCUCUGGUUUUUGUCUCAAAUCCCAAAGCUUGACAUCAUGGUCAAAUGACGAAGUAGCAAAUAGGAAGGGAGAACAGUGUGCAAAUUUAGCAACAUUAAUGGGUUCUCGAUGCAUAUUAGUAAACAACUGUAUGCGUCUUCUACUACUAAUGUCAUAUAGGGCAACAUCCUUUGAGUACCCACUGGCAAGAAACUGAUCGUCUGUGGAAUUGACAUGAACAGAAGUCAAUGGCUCAAAAUCAUCAAAACUGACCACUCCUGUCAUGCAAUUUAUAUCUGCAACUUUUGGUGGCAUAUGAUUGAUGUCAAACAGCUUCAAGGAACCAUUAUCAGAACCAGCUAGCAACUGUUCAAUGCAUACAAAAAGCCUUCAGCAAAAAUUGAACUUCUAAGAAUCAAAAUGAAGCAAUAAAUUAGAUGUCCUUCCCAUUAUAUAGCAUUUAUGAAUUACUUCCAAAGACAAGUUCUAGCAACAAAUUAUCUAUCCUAUUGAUACAAUUCUAGUAUCUUUUAGGUGUAAGCAUGCAACUGGCUGAUUUCCCUCAUCCAAAGAACAAAUGUAAAAUAUUUCAAGGUUUAAAUUGCUGCGGAAAGUAUACAAGAUACUGCUGUUGGAAAUAUCACCUUGGAAUUCAGGUGUGAUCUUGACCUACAAAGUCAUCGAGUAAAAUAAACCAAAUCCAAAGACAACCGCAAUUUAUUGUUGAACCAUAUUGAACUUACGAUACCAAACACAAGUGCCUUAGAAACAGAUAAAAGAAAAGGGUCGAAAGUGCAAGACAAAAGUAUUACAAGCCUAAAAUGCUUUAUGGAAAUGGCAUACCUUUGAUGGAUACAUUUUGAGCCAACAAAGACCCAGAAUACUGUUCAUUGCUCCACUGGAAGGAACAUAACCAACAGUCUUCCCAUUUUCAUGAUUAGUGACAACUACUUCACCAUCUAGAGUUCCAAAAACCAUAAGACUAGGAUCAGAUGGAUGAUAUUCGAAUUGUCUAGGGCGAAGACGCUUACUUCCUUCUUUAUGCAGAUGGCUCAAGCUAGACAAAGGGUGCAAGAGGGGCCAUGCAACAGAACCCAGCUUGGCAGCACUAAGAGAUCGUGGAAAGAAAAUUUGACUCUUUCCAUGAGGAUAUUGCUUCUUUGUCUUCUGGAAAUUUGGGCAGGCACCACUUGCUCUCAUUUCACGUUUCUGCAGGAUACUGACAAUGCUUUCUUUGUAUUGUCGGUUAUAGGCUAAGUACUCAUAGAAUUUUGAAGAGAUGAUCUUCGCCAUUUUCUUGUCCAGCUUUCCAACGGGCAAAUUAUCUAAAACCUCCAAAUGAGGCAAUGAAGCAAUUAUAUACUCCCUAUAAUGUUUCUCAAAGCAGAUAGGCGAUGGGUGGUGUGAACUGUAAAUGUUGUUUAACUUAGUACAGUUUUUCUUCAAAUCCCACAUGCAUCCACUUGCAAACAACUCAUUUUUGUCUUCAAUCUAUCAUUCGCCAAAAGAAACCUGUUAGACAAACUAAAAAAAUCCAUCACCAAACAUCUAUAUUUCAAACUUUCCCCCUUCUAAGCAUUUAAUAUGCUUACCUCAUUUUGCAACUUGACUUUUCCAUUCAAAUUAGGAAGCAUGCUGGAUGAUAGUUCCAGCAAAUCUAUUCUUUGCAGGCAGCUUGAAAUUUUAUCUUCAGUAGUGACUGAAAAGUUAUCAGUUCCUCCAUUAACCUCAUUACAUGUAAAUGCAUUUUUGGGAGAAAGCAAGUCACAACAUGACAUUGCAUGAGGAGUGUAAAUAGUUGUGUCAGCAGCAUUGACAGGCAGCAGUUCAAUGGAUGAACCUCUAUCCAACUGAUGCAGGACAUUUGCUUUGUUACCAAAUGAUGCAGGACAUGGCCCAGUGUCCUUGCAACACAAGCAAUUUUGGAAUCGUAGUUCUAGCAAAGAAGGAAGUUUCAAUAAGGCAGCAGUGGUUGUCCAGAGAUCAAUCACUCUUGUCUCACACAUUGAGAGACGCAUCAGAUUGGGCAUGGAAGAAAAACAGUCCCUAUGCAAACUAGCGAUUGAAGUGCAAAAAUCCAGAUUUAAGGUGUGCAAUCGCAUAAAACUUCCAACCAUGUUGAGCUUUUGGAUGUGAGUGGACCUCAAGCUUAAAAUUUCACAAGAUAAGCCAUGGUGACUUAGAUCCCUGGAAAGGUCCCACAAACAACGAUGUUAAAAUAUGAUUUAGAUAGAGAAUACUCCACCUUUCUUUUCAUCCUUUUCAAGCAUAGUUAAUUGGUCACUAGACUCACUGCAUGAUAUAAUGUUUCCUUAGCAAAAGAGGAUGCUAUAUGCUUUUCAUAGAAAGACAAAAUUAACUGUCAUGAACCCAGAAAGACACAGGACACAAAUGUUGGGGCUCUGUAAACUGCUGAAGCAGGGUCUUGGGAUCCUAGAUAAGGCCCUCACUUGAGCAUUCAAAUCUUCAUAAUUGUUAACCAAUACAGAAAGUGCCCACUAGCCGUCCUAAUGGUCUUUCCAUCCAGAUUCUAAAAAUAUGACGGCAGUGGUCCUUUUCAAGUUAUUUUAAGUGAUAAUCUCAUCUCUUAAAACUCAUAAAGUGAUUAGAACUUCUAGCAUCACCAUCAUUUUUCUCUCUCUUCAUAUUCUUUUUUCUUUUUUCUCUUUCUUAAGGAAUUCAAGGUUGGGAAAUUGGAAACGGCAGAAAUCUAUCAGGUAAAGGAAAAUAAAAUAUAGAAGAUAAUGCAUUAUGACUAUGGUAAAUGACAAAGACAAUAAGGACAAGCAAUAAAACAGAAUGGUGAUACCAACCAUAAAAAGUCCUCUUCCAAUGACAUUUCCUGAAGAUCAACAACCCGGAGUUUUAGAUGAAUUGCUCGCAACAAGGAAAGAACAUAUUCUUCCUUCAAAUUGCAAUGCGAUUCAUUGACUAUGUCAACUGCAUCAAUGUCAGAAGAGUCUACUGCUAGGAACAUAUCAAUCAGAGGAGGAAUAUCAUCAUUCUUGAGCUGAUUUAGCAAAACCUCAAAGGUACACUUCUUCUGGAAGAACUUCUGUAUUGUGGCCUAAAUAAAAGAAGAAAAGUUAUGCUUGCCACAAAAUAGUUUCUUCAAUGCAAAAACUGUACAAGUUUGUUACUGGAUCAAUCUACCAGCCAGUGAAGCAAAGAUGAUUAAUAAUCAUAGAGAAGAAAGCUAAGUUUCAUUAUGCUAUCAAGUUAGGACCAUAAGUAUUAUUUCAGAGAAAGAAAUGCACCUCCCAAGGCCAAAAAAACAAAAAAAGAAGAAGAAAAAAAAAAAAGACAGCUUGCUGCUUUAGGAGGUGGGAUAAAACUAACUUCAGAAAAAUCCAGUCCAAGCAGCACACAGUGCAACAUAUGGCUCUUUUCUGAAAGAUGGUUUAAGAAUCCCCUCAAUGCAAGCAAAAUGAUUCUAUACUAACAACCAACUUUUAUCCAAAAAAUAUGAUAUUAAUUGAUAAAAACAACAACAAGUGGACAGCCUUAGUCAGUAACAUCAGAUUCCACAAUCUAAAGCAGUCUGAAGGGAUAAAGGCAGAUGAAGGGGGGAGGUGCGUGUGCAAUAUCCUAACAAAGGAAACACUGUUCCCUAUUAAACAUGAGGGGCGGCGCAAACAUUCAUGAAGAAAGUUUAGUUUAAUAGACCUUAGAGAAGCAUGACAGUACGGCAGAAUUGGGUGGCACCUCAUGCCUCCUGCAAGAAUCAAGAUACCUAGCACAAAAAGAGAACGCAAUCUGAGAAUCAAUAAGAAUCUAAAAGUACAAGGAUUCAGAGAGCAAAAGCCACUAUCAACACCAGCAUCAAGAAAUCAAGCUUUUGAAAAUACUUGCAACUAUCAACCAAUGGAACGAGUCCAAACAUGAAAUGUUCUACAAAACAAAAGUAUUUGAAGCCAGAAUACUAAUAAUUCCACAAAUUUACUUUGCCAAAUAUCAAUAAAGGCAACAACAAGACUCAUAUUCUCAUAGAAACUAUAAAAUUUUCUAAAAAAAACUUAAUUGGCCAGUAAAAAGUUCCCAGAAAAUUUUAAUUAUGAUUCUUUUUUCUUUUUUUGGGUAUGUGAAAUUGUACAUUAGUUCAAUCAUUACUAAUCAAUCAAUCCAACUAGCUGACAGUAAUAUUUAGUUUAGUUAAUGUCGCUUUGAAUUUUGAAGAUUCUUCCCGCUACUGAUCAGAGAAAAGGAAUAGAUCAAAGGGAAGGUUAGCUUUGUGAACUAAUUUAUGCAAAGAUACUAGCUUUGAAUCUGAAAUAGAAAAAAAAAUCAUGUUUUGCUUUGUGGGUGUCCACAGAGGAUCUCUCUCUUUUGCUAAUUUCAGUCAUUUAUGUAAAAAAGCUGUAACAAUUGCCAACACUUUCUCUAAGCACUUGCCACCUGCUACUAAUUUUCCUUUGCCUCUUUUGGCUAAUUCCAUUCGUAACUCCCAUCAUUGGUUAACCUCCCAAAAUACCACGUCUAAAUUUCUCUUGAAAGCUGUACCAAACCCACCAAUCCUUUAACUCUUAAAUCCAUGAUUCAGUAGGAAAAAAAAAACAAAACACAGACAAGAAACCAGAAAACCCAGAAGAGAAAAAAAUUAAAGAAAGAAAAAGAUUUAAUUAGAGAUCAAUAUCAUACCGAGCUUCUAAGGUGGAGAUAUCCAUGCAAAUGAUUGGUGACUGUAGCUUUGCUUCUUCUAGUUCUUCACAUUAAUGGCGAAAAAAAUGAAGUCAAUGGAUCUAAGACACGGGAAAUAUUGCUAACAGUGUCAAAAACACAUGUCGAAUGGAUAAGCACACCUGUUCUUAAUUCUAAAUUCUAACAUUACUCAGUGCAGGAAGAGAAAGUGAAAUUUCAACCAAAUAAUAUUCGACAAGAUUACCUUUAGAAGUUAGGACCAUCAUCAAAUGGCCAUUAUGUAUUUGAGUCACGCAAUUAUAAUACAAAUAGUUUUUACAAGUUUAAUUUAUAAUUAUAUUUGUCGUUAUUUAUUUAUUGAAUGAUAAUCUAUUAUUCAAUUUGCUAAAAAAAUGUAUCGUUAGUCAUUGCUAAUUAAUGAUUAACUAUUAUUGGAUUUUGAAAAGCUAUUCUAAUGCUUAAAUUAUUAAAUUCUCCAAUCAAUUCGCAGUUUAAAAAGAUAUUUAAUAUUUUUUAUUUUUAUUAAUGAAAUAUAUCUAUAUACAUUGAAUUAUGUGCGAUGUAAUUAAUCUCUUACAUCCUAUAAAUAUAAUAAAUAUAGAAAGUGUAAGAUAUUUGGUUAGAUUUCUUUUAUUUGGUAAUCUCCUAAAAAAAAAAUCUAUAUAUAUAUAUAUAUAUAUUUUUUUUUUUUAUGGAGGUAAAAUUUAAAAAAAAAUGUGUAAAAUAACUCAACUACCUUUUGUUAUCAUAUGGAAAAAAAUAAUUAAAAUUAAUUUUUUUUAAACUUUGGUAAGGGAACGGAACUGUAAACAUUCUUAAUUAUAUCAAGUGAACACCACCAAGUUAACACAUAAAUAUUAUAAUCUUCAAUCAUUGUAUAAUUUUGUAUAUUAGAAAAUGAAUUAAGUUAAAUUAUUUUAGUGGAUCCUGUGGCUUUUAUUUUUGUCACGAUUUGUCAAAUCAAUGCCCAACUACUAACUAAGAUGUUGACAACAUUGUUAAUAUAAAAAGAUCAUUAAUCAUGUUAGAAAAUGAAAAUAAGCUUGUUAGAAAUAUGUCAAAUAAAAUACUUAUUUCUCAUUUUUUUUGUAUGAAAAAAUAGAGAAGAAAAUAAAUAAAAUUAAUUUCUGAGUAAUAUUUGAAGUUCACCAUCAAAUAAAAUUAGUUGUUUGAUUUGAAUUUGUUCUAAUGAGUUAAUAUUUCCCAACUAAUUAUCAAAUUUCUUUAUCUAUCCCUAGAAGGUGUAGAAUAUGGAAGGAUAAUUAAUUGAAGGUUUUGAUUGGGCCUAAAAAUGAAUGUUAGUAUCUUAGAGAAAAAAAGAAAAAGAAAAAAAAAAGCUCAGUGGUAGAAUAACGGUGGUUGACAACCACAUUUUGCACUGAUCAUCAUCGUCAUCAUCAUCAUUAUGUAAUAAAUGAGAAUAGUGGAUGUUGACAUGACAUUGUGUUUGAGAGUGAAACUCUCUAAAAUUUAAAUAUUUUGUUUUAACUUAGUUAAGAAAAUUUGAAGAUUUUAAAGAGAAAACGUGUCUCCCUUAACUCUUUCUCUCUCUACUUUAUAACUUUUAUGAAUUUUUAAAUAAUACUAACUCAUUUAAAAUUAAUCUCUAAUUUAUAUCUUUUAAAUAUAAUGGCUCUUGAAUAAUAACUCUUUUAAAAUUACUCUCUAAUUUAUUACUUUUAAAUAUAAUGGCUCUUGAAGUUCUCUUAUAAUUUUAAAUUUUCAAUUAGUUCAAUAUUAUUAGGUUAAGAAUGUUAGGAAUAAAAUUAUACAAAAUAAGUUUGAGAUAAAAUUUUAAUAUUGAGUUUGUUGUAUAUUAAUAUUAAUAUUGUUGGUGCAAAAAGGUAAUAAUUAUAUGGAUUUUGGAUCCGCAAAGUAAAAAUUAACCAAAAAUAAAUACUUGCAAUUAAUAUAUUUUUUGCAUGUGCUAAAUUAAUUUUGAGAUAAAAUUUUAGCAUUAAAUUUUUUCUAUAUUAAUAUUGCAAAUGAAAAUAGGUAUUAGCUAUAUGGAGUUUGGACGAGUAAAUGCAGAAAUUGUUCAAAAAUAAAUAUUUGCAACUAGUAUUAUUUUUGCAUGUGCUUUUAUCUAAUAAUGAUGAUAUAACCAUUUUGAUUUGAAUAAACUUUUUUACGUUCUUUAUUUUCGUUCACCUGCUAUCUUAAAAAUCAUGUUUCACCUUAAUUAGCGUAAACAAUUUUAAUUCUACACGAUAAUAUUUAAGUUUAAAUCAUGAAAUAUUAUAAAGCUCUGCGAAACAUAGAAAAUUGCAUAGUUAAAAAUUAAAGUAUAAAGUUAUAUUAGGAAGCCUCCUGUGUUUACUAAUAAUUAGAUAUGAGAAAUGAUGAAAAAGGCUAGGAGCUCUCCUAAUCUAUGUCAUAAUAACUCUCAUCUUUAAGAAUUUUGAUGUAUUUUAAAAAAUAAAUAAAUAAUAACAAUUAGACAAGGAUGAUUAGUUGAUCAUGAACACACGAGUAAUAUAUUAAUUGAAUAAUGACAAUUUACAAUAAUUAUUAUAUAAUAGAAAUAAUUGAAAUAUUAAAAAUUGGUUCCGGUAAUUGAUCAAGUCGACUAAUUCAAUCACGGAUAGCCAGUUCAAUUAGAUUCUCUUUCUUAAAUGAUGCAAAAGCCAAAUGGAUCCAAUUUUAAAAUUAGUUCACCAAAUUUUCGAGUUAAUUUUUUUUUUUUUUUUUUAAGAGAAAAUUAUGCUUGCACCUUUUAGUUGCGUUGAAUUUAAAGUUUGGUUAAAUUGCAAUUAUACCAUAAUAUUUAAAGCUUCUUUAAGGAAAAACUGAAGGUUGGGAAGUUAAAAUGUAUAAGGUUGAAUUUCUCUCCACACCUUAAAUAAUAAAGUUGUACUAUAAUAUUAUACUCUCUUUAUCCAAAUUAUAAUAAACUCAAAAUAACUUACAAAAAAAUAUUUAAUUUAAUAUAAAUAAUAAUAUGAUUAAAAAAAUAUUUAUUAAUUUUUUAAAUAAUCAAUACGUCUUAUAUUUUAAAAUAAAAUAAUCGCAAUUUAUAUUUAGUAGGGCAAAAAAAGUGCUACCGUUGCCAAAGGAUAAGAUUGAAGCUAAUUAGGCAAAACAUUUACACGCUUUGGUCAAAAUCCUUAAGUACGCGGCUAGCCAAUAUGGAAGCACCCAAACUAUUAACCAGUCUUUCACGUGUGGUCGCGCAAGUCCGUGCGUGUGCGCGCAUGCGCAUGCUUGUGUGUGCGUGUGUCCAUGAUUAUAUUUAGCUUGGUUUGGUAGGAUGAAUAUUGCUACUUUAAAAAAAUAAAAAUAAAAAUAAAAAUUGAUUCAUAUAAUAAAAAAAUUGAGUCAUUUAAUUGAAUAAGAACAUAAAAAUCACACUCUCUCUUCCUUCGUGAUUUACAAGAUAUUUAUGAAAGAAACAAAAAUAAGAAUUUGGAGGAGAAAGCAAGUUGUAGAAAAAGACAGAGAUGCAAGAAAGAAAACUUGUGAAGCACGUGUGCCACCCAAAGGAAUAUCUUAUGGAAAUUGAAAAGGAUUGUACAUUGGCUAACGAAUAAUUAGGCAAUUAGCCUACUAUGAUGGCUUAAUUAAAUUAUUAAUUGACUCGGUAAACUGAUCAAUUAACAAGUAAUUAUAAAAUAGUGGAUCUCCAUUUUAUACUUUUUCUUCUCAUAUACAAUUUUAAAUUUCUACUCAUCAUUUUAAAUUUGGUAAACGGCAGUGGAGUCAAUAUAUAAUUAAUUUUGAAAUGAUAUUCAUAUAAUAAUCAAAUAAGUUCAAAUUAAGUAAAAAUCUAAUUAAUUAAUUAGUAACUUCAAACAUAUACUACUAACCAUUUUGUUUUAGAUUAGUUCAUGAGAAAUUUGUAUAUCUAUAUUGAACUUGAAAUAAAAAUAAAGUUCACUCUUUAUUUAGCAUAGUAUUUUACCCUUUUUGUAAAUUUUUAUUUUUUUUUUCCUUAUUUUUUAUAUUUUAAUUCAACCACUUAAGGUAUCUUUAAAGUUUUAAAAUUAAUAUUUUUUUAUAAUAAUUUAUAUUGAUAUCUAUAUUUUUAAAUCCAUAUAUCUAUGUGUAUUUAUAUCCACACAUAUUUUAUAUAUCAAUUCAUAUCUAAAUCUAUAUAUCUAUAUUAAAGCUGAAUAAAAAAAAAGUUAUAAAUUCGAUUAUCCUUUUUCUUAUAUUCUUUUCCUUUAAAAUUUUUUAAAUUAUUUCUUUAUUUUUCUAUAUUUGAUUGAGCUAGUUAACAAUAUUUUUAAAAUCUUUCUAUCUAUUCAAGCCAAGAUAAAGUAAAAGUUCAAAAUUUGAUUUUCGCUUCAUUUAGUAUUUUGCUUUUUUCUUUUCAAGAAAGUUUUUGACUUUUUAUUUUUAUGUAUUUAUUUUACCGUCUAGGAUAGUUUUUUAAAGUUUAAAAAUUGUGCGUGUGUAUGUGAGAGAGAUAUAUAUUAGGAUGCUUUGUUAAUAUUAUCAUGGUUUUAAUAAAUGAUAUGUCAUUUGUGUCACGUGUAUAGUAAGUACUCUCUUAAAAAAAAAAAAGUUAUUUAUAAUAAUUACGAAUGAAAAUCUAAUAUAUUAAUUAUAUAUCAUUAAAAAAAUACUGAAAGUUCAUAGCUAGUUCUAUUUGUUGGUUUUUAAUAUUUAAAAUUUCAAUUAUUAUAUUAUUUUGAGAUAUUUAUUUAUUUAUUUUUUUGAGUAUUGGGGGAGAGGGAUUUGAAUCCAAAUCUAUUGCUGGGUCGUAUAUGCACUUAUCACUAGAUUAGGAUAAUAAUUAUUUAAGUUUGAAAGUUACUAUUUAUUUAUAAUAAUAUUAGAAAAAUAAUCAUAUUAAUUAAGUCAAAAUUAAAAAAUGUCAAAACUGCCCUCCCUUUAAUUUUACAAUUUUACUUGCAUUCUACUCUAUAGAGUAAAGUAUUCAGUUUCUUGAUUUUGAGCUUAAAUGCACUAAUUACGCUGUAUUUAAUUAGCUCUGAAACUGAAAGUUUUGUUUGAAAUUCUUGUCCUUGAUUUUUGCCUCAGCUGAAACAGUAUAUCUGCUUGGAUUGAAAAUACAAAAGCCUUAUACCCAAUCAUAUUGGGCUUAGCCCAUACAUAUCUAUCCAACUCCAACAUUAACCCUUUCGAGAUCAUUAACAUGAUUGGAUUUGGCUCAAUAUCAUUAUUAUCGGUAGAGAUGUCAUUUUCAAAACAAAAGGGAAAAAGAUACUCGAGCUUCUCAAGUUAGUUUUAGGAUUAUACAUUUGUAAGUUCAAAACUAAUCUAAACUUAGUUAAUCAAAUUGAGGUUUUAAUUUAUUUUUUUGUCUUUCCAAAUUAAUCCUACCAUGCUCUAGUCCAGGAGCACAAGGGGGAAUAAUAAAUUCAAGCUUCCUCCUUUCAAUUUUAAAAGAUAUUCCAUAUUAUCAUAAUCUUUUUUUCGUUAAUUAUGAUUUUCAAACUAUUUUUGAUUUGAGAGAGAAGAGAAAGAACCCACUAUCCAAAAGAAAAACUAUAUAUUAGAGAUUAAAUUAGGAAAGUAAGAACUAUAUCGUAUCAGUUUAAAUGGGUAGAGUAAGGCCAUAAAUGAUUUAUAUAAUUAUCAAUGGCUUAAAAGGAAUGAUAAAAAUAGUUGUACUACUAAUAUAAGAAAAUUUUAUGAUUUUAUCAUUAUAUUUUGUCAUAAUAUAUAAAUUGCUUGCAUUUUUCAGAAAUGCAUACUUUUGUUUUUAUCUUCUCUAUUUCUGUCGAUUUUUUAUACUUUUUUUCGUCAAUAAAUACUACUAUGUUUUUCAUAUAUUUUGUUAAAAUUUACAAUUUAUCCAUUUAUGUAUCAAUUAUUGUCUACAUAUUUCGCUAAAAUUAAGUAGCAAAAUUAAGUAAUUAUCCCUAUAUUUAAUAGAAGGUAGAAAAAAUUAACAUAAGAUACAUCAGUGUGUAACGGAUGAGGUAAAAAAUAUGGAUAAAAUUAUAUAUCUCUAAAUAAAAAAUAAAAUUAUUCGAAUCCAAUCGAUUACAGAUGUUUUUAUCAAUUUAAUAAGCAAGAGGAAAACUACCCCUACCCUUAUUACAUAAUGCAAAUAUUAAACAUUGCUUACCAAUAAUAAUACAUAUUCUUUGUAUUGGAUGCAGAUAAAAGCUUUACCUCAACAAAGAAAAUCUUUAACACCAAAAUGGUAGGGCUCUGACCAAAUGCCAGAAUCAAGAUAAACAAUCAUGCCAUCAAAUCAACUUGCUUUUCUUUCUUUUCUUUUUUUCCAUAAUUACCUUGCCCUUCCUUUUCUCUAUCAAACUGUAAUUUUUAGAUGACAAACAACCAGAGAUAACUACUCUUUUUUGUUUCUCUCUUUUAAUCUUUUGUUAGUUUUUAACUGAAACAAUUAAAGAAUAAAGCCAAACAUAUGAAAAAGCAAACGCAAGAACAGGCUGUUAAGAAAAGAAAGAAAGGAAAGAACAAAAGAGAGGCUCCCAAUAGAAUAAUCCAAAAUAUAUAAAAUGACAGUGAAUAGAAAACUACAAAAAUACAGAGUUUUUCCCCCCACACAGCUCUCCCUCCCUGUCCCUCAAAGAAUACUGAAUACAAAGCAAAUGUGGUUAAUCCCCAGGCAGAAAAAACCAAACCACUGGCCAGUAAGAUAUAGCAAUAAUUUAACAAAACAAUGGUAAUCAAAUAAAAAUAUCAAAUGGUGAGUCCGUAAAUAAAGAAGAAGAGCAUGUGGGGGACAAAAGAUUAAAAUAAUUUAACACCAAUAGCAAUAAUGGACAUUAUAAAACAUAUCUCUCUGUUUUGAUCUCUAGAAGAUCAAAGUCAUUGCUGCCCAUCCCAAUGCCAAGCCUCCGAGCAUCUUCUGUACUGACCUUAUCGAUUCUGAUCCGCUCUGCAAUUUGGAUCAAAAUUCAUUUUCAUAAUCCAGAUGUUAAGAAGAAUAAAUAAACUUGCAUAAAUUUCUACUUUAAUAAUUAUUCACGAGAAUGUUGUUGCCUCUCCCCGUUGGGAAGUUAAUGAUCUGAAAUUCUGAUGUUGAAAUUUCAAUGUUCGGUUUAGAGAAACAAUAAAUACACAUUCAUUAGAAAACCAUUAGCUUGAGAAUUAUUCGAUUCAAGAUAGAUCCUCCUUACGGGAAGUGAAACCGCUUUGUGCCAUAGAUUUUUAUUACUAUUGCAUUAAAACCUUUCAUCAACAGUUAUAAUUUUAUUAAUUAAAAGGACUUGCCCACUGUACUAAUAAAAUUAAUCACCUCCACAUUAAUGUUCUGCAGAUCCACGGAUGACACAGUGCAAUUCACUGUCAUUUGUACUACAGUGAUGGGGCGUGAAUCUUACGCGCCACAGUGUCGCGUUCAUCUCACUAGAGACAAGCGCUUACCACCAGAAGCAGUACUUGAGAAGCGCCAAGCUUUGCUUCCACUAAGCAGUUAUAAGGCAGCACCGACAUUUAGCAUUUCAAUAAUGGAUUAACUUGAGGGGCAAUAAUCCGGUCAUUUUAGGAAAUUUAAGCAUUCUUCACUAAUUUAGGCUCGGUGACCACUAACGAUAUCUAGAUUUUUUUCUAGUGCUAAAGAGGGAAAACACAGACCAUGGAUCUUUGCAUUAAACUUCAGAUCUGGAGGUGCAUUGCACUCCAGCGCAUGUCAGAUGGUAAGCCAAUCGGAAAAACAACUAAAACGAGCACUGGAAAGUAGAAAGUACCUCAUCGGCCACAGAAGCGGGACCAGGAGAGCUGGCGUCAAGGCUCGGUCCAGGUGCCUCCGUCGGUGGAGCUGGUGGACUCGACAACUCCGGACCAGGAGCAGGUGAAGCAGCGUGCUUCUUCGACUUUUUCUUGGUUGGAGUCGGUGCAGGAACCUCGGCGGUUGGCGCAGCCACUGGAGCUGAAGGAGCAGUUUCCGGAGGAGAGCUUGUUGGUGGAGUAACUGGUGCUGGUGAUGGAGGAGAUUGGGCCGGAGAUUUUGCUGGAGUUUUUGCUGGAGGAGAGCUCACUGGAACUGCAACAGGUGGUGAACUAAUAGGAGCGGCGGCAAGUGGUGGUGUAGCUACCGGAGCCGCAGCCGGAGCUGGCACCUUCUGUUUGGUCGGAGAAGCUGCUGGUGUCUUCGCUGGUGGUGAAGACACUGGAACUGCAACAGGAGCAGGCGAUUUAGAUUUUGCUGGUGCUUUAGCAGGUGCAGUUACAGGCGCUGCAGGAGCCAACGGAGUAGCAGUCGGUGCUGCACCUGGAGCUUGGCCGCCGACGCCGGCGACAAUGAUGCACAUUAAUGCAACAGAAAAAACGCUUUUGCGAUCCAUCUUGGCAGAGGAGAGA
rnacentral:lncRNA from 1 species